UAACAGGGAUAUCCAGGAAUUGAACUCAGCUCUGCACCAAGCAGACCUAAUAGACAUCUACAGAACUCUCCACCCCAAAUCAACAGAAUAUACAUUCUUUUCAGCACCACACCACACCUACUCCAAAACUGACCACAUAGUUGUAAGUAAAGCACUCCUCAGCAAAUGUAAAAGAACAGAAAUUAUAGCAAACUGUCUCUCAGACCACAGUGCAAUCAAACUAGAACUCAGGAUUAAGAAACUCACUCAAAACCGCUCAACUACAUGGUAACUGAACAACCUGCUCCUGAAUGACUACUGGGUAAAUAAUGAAGUGAAGGCAUAAAUAAAGAUAUUCUUUGAAACCAACGAGAACAAAGACACAACAUACCAGAAUCUCUGGGACGCAUUCAAAGCAGUGUGUAGAGGGAAAUUUAUAGCACUAAAUCCCCACAAGAGAAAGCAGAAAAGAUCUAAAAUUGACACCCUAACAUCACAAGUAAAAGAACUAGAACAGCAAGAGCAAACACAUUCAAAAGCUAGCAGAAGGCAAGAAAUAACUAAGAUCAGAGCAGAACUGAAGGAAAUAGAGACACAAAAAACCCUUAAAAAAUUAAUGAAUCCAGGAGUUGGUUUUUUUGAAAAGAUCAACAAAAUUGAUAGACCGCUAGCAAGACUAAUAAAGAAGAAAAGAGAGAAGAAUCAAAUAGACGCAAUGAAAAAUGAUGAAGGGGAUAUCACCACCGAUCCCACAGAAAUGCAAACUACCAUCAGAGAAUACUACAAACAUCUCUACGCAAAUAAACUAGAAAAUCUAGAAGAAAGGGAUAAAUUCCUCGACACAUACAUCCUCCCAAGACUAAACCAGGAAGAAGUUGAAUCUCUGAAUAGACCAAUAACAGGAUCUGAAAUUGAGGCAAUAAUCAAUAGCUUACCAACCAAAAAAAGUCCAGGACCAGAUGGAUUCACAGGCGAAUUCUACCAGAGGUACAAGGAGGAACUGGUACCAUUCCUUCUGAAACUAUUCCAAUCAAUAGAAAAACAGGGAAUCCUCCCUAACUCAUUUUAUGAGGCCAGCAUCAUCCUGAUACCAAAGCCUGGCAGAGACACAACAAAAAAAAAGAGAAUUUUAGACCAAUAUCUUUGAUGAACAUCGAUGCAAAAAUCCUCAAUAAAAUACUGGCAAACCAAAUCCAGCAGCACAUCAAAAAGCUUAUCCACCAUGAUCAAGUGGGCUUCACCCCUGGGGUGCAAGGCUGGUUCAACAUAUGCAAAUCAAUAAAUGUAAUCCAACAUAUAAACAGAACCAAAGACAAAAACCACAUUAUUAUCUCAAUAGAUGCAGAAAAGGCCUUUGCCAAAAUUCAGCAAUGCUUCAUGCUAAAAACUCUCAAUAAACUAGGUAUUGAUGGGAUGUAUCUCAAAAUAAUCAGAGGUAUCUAUGACAAAUCCACAGCCAAUAUGAUACUGAAUGGGCAAAAACUGGAAGCAUUCCCUUUGAAAACUGGCAGAAGGCAGGGAUGCCCUCUCUCACCACUCCUAUUCAACAUAGUGUUGGAAGUUCUGGCCAGGGCAAUCAGGCAGGAGAAGGAAAUAAAGGGUAUUCAAUUAGGAAAAGAGGAAGUCAAAUUGUCCCUGUUUGCAGAUGACAUGAUUGUAUAUCUAGAAAACCCCAUCAUCUCAGCCCAAAAUCUCCUUAAGCCGAUAAGCAACUUCAGCAAAGUCUCGGGAUACAAAAUCAAUGUACAAAAAUCAGAAGCAUUCUUAUACACCGAUAACAAACAGAGAGCCAAAUCAUGAGUGAAGUCCCAUUCACAAUCACUACAAAGAGAAUAAAAUACCUAGGAAUCCAACUUACAAGGGAUGUGAAGGACCUCUUCAAGGAGAACUACAAACCACUGCUCAAUGAAAUAAAAGAGGAUACAAACAAAUGGAAGAACAGUCCAUGCUCAUGGGUAGAAAGAAUCAAUAUUGUGAAAAUGGCCAUACUGCCCAAGGUAAUUUAUAGAUUCCAUGCCAUCCCCAUCAAGCUACCAAUGACUUUCUUCACAGAAUUGGAAAAAACUACUUUAAAGUUCAUAUGGCACCAAAAAGGAGCUCACAUAGCCAAAACAAUCCUAAGCAAAAAGAACAAAGCUGGAGGCAUCACGCUACCUGACUUCAAACUAUACUACAAGGCUACAGUAACCAAAACAGCAUAGUACUGGUACCAAAACAGAGAUAUAGACCAAUGGAACAGAACAGAGCCCUCAGUAAUAAUGCCACAUAUCUACAACUAUCUGGUCUUUGACGAACGUGACAAAAACAAGCAAUGGGGAAAGGAUUCCCUAUUUAAUAAUUGGUGCUGGGAAAACUGGCUAGCCAUAUGUAGAAAGCUGAAACUGGAUCCCUUCCUUACACCUUAUACGAAGAUUAAUUCAAGAUGGAUUAAAGACUUAAAUGUUAGACCUAAAACCAUAAAAACCCUAGAAGAAAACCUAGGCAAUACCAUUCAGGACAUAGGCAUGGGCAAGGACUUCAUGUCUAAAACACCAAAAGCAGUGGCAACAAAAGCCAAAAUUGACAAAUGGGAUCUAAUUAAACUAAAGAGCUUCUGCACAGCAAAAGAAACUACCAUCCGAGUGAACAGGCAACCUAGAGAAUGGGAGAACGUUUUUGCAACCUACUCAUCUGACAAAGGGCUAAUAUCCAGAAUCUACAAUGAACUCAAACAAAUUUACAAGAAAAAAACAAACAACCCCAUCAACAAGUGGGCGAAGGAUAUGAACAGACACUUCUCAAAAGAAGACAUUUAUGGAGCCAAAAGACACAUGAAAAAAUGCUUAUCAUCACUGGCCAUCAGAGAAAUGCAAAUCAAAACCACAAUGAGAUACCAUCUCACACCAGUUAGAAUGGCAAUCAUUAAAAAGUCAGGAAACAACAGGUGCUGGAGAGGAUGUGGAGAAAUAGGAACACUUUUACACUGUUGGUGGGACUGUAAACUAGUUCAAACAUUGGGAAGUCAGUGUGGCAAUUCCUCAGGGAUCUAGAACUAGAAAUACCAUUUGACCCCGCCAUCCCUUUACUGGGUAUAUACCCAAAGGAUUAUAAAUCAUGCUGCUAUAAAGACGCAUGCAUACACACGUAUGUUUAUAGCGGCACUAUUCACAAUAGCAAAGACUUGGAUCCAACCCAAAUGUCCAACAACGAUAGACUGGAUUAAGAAAACGUGGCACAUAUACACCAUGGAAUACUAUGCAGCCAUAAAAAGUGAUGAGUUCAUGUCUUUUUUAGGGACAUGAGGAUGAAGCUGGAAACCAUCAUUCUCAGCAAACUAUCGCAAGGACAAAAAACCAAACACUGCAUGUUCUCACUCAGAGGUGGGAAUUGAACAAUGAGAACCCAUGGACACAGGAAGGGGAACAUCACACACCAGGGCCUGUUGUCGGGUGGGGGGAGCGGGGAGGGAUAGCUUUAGGAGAUACACCUAAUGUAAAUGAUGAGUUAAUGGGUGCAGCACACCAACAUGUCACAUGUAUACACAUGUAACAAACCUGCACGUUGUGCACAUGUACUGUAAAACUUAAAGUAUAUAAAAAAAAAAAACUAUUGCACAGUUCACAUGCCAGCCAUUUAACAUUGGUUUACUCUCUACUUGGGGAUGACAUCUAGAAUCUUAAAAGCGAAGCUAGGCAAUUGGAAAGAAUGAGACUUGGGCUGCCUGGUUCAGGGGCUCUUGUUUCUUCCUGCCAAAACCUCUUCUCUCCUUUUCUGCUAAUAACCCUCCCACUCUCCUGUCUUCCUGCACGGCCUCUCCUUGGCCAUGUGUGGAUUCCUAGCCCCAACCCCUCUGGAAUCUGGAGUCUCCCUUUAGGUAGAGAAUGAAUGGAACAGUGAUCUGCCUGAAGUAUCUCAGAGGGGCACCCACACACUGCUGCAGGUGCAGCCGAGGCUGUUCAUGUUCUUCCUGAAGCCUGAUUGUUCAUCUCUUCUUACAGUUCUGUGAACUCUUGCCACAUCCCUCUCACAAAUCCCCUUUGGCUUUAAGUUAGCCAGAGUUGGUUCCCGUUGCUUAUAACAAAACAUACUCAGCUUAUAUGUAUGGCAAUAUUCAAGAUAUCAUUCUCAAGGCCACUUAGGCAUUUGACAUUCGGAUAAUUGGUAGACUUAAGGAUCGUGAGAUUGUUUCCAGGCACCAAGAAGAUGGUACCAGCUGGCAAUUCAGUCUGUCUAUCCUCAGGAGUUUCCAUUUUAGUAACAUUUGAAAGGAUUCUUUUAACACGGAUUGUGAAAACUUCGAAUUUAUUGAAAAGACAAAAUUACAACGAAUGAAUUGUAUUUUAUACUUAAUAGUCAAUGUAGCUAUACUAUCACUAAUGAGUGAAUCAUGUAUUUUAUACUUAAUCAAUGUAGAUGAACUGUCAUUAAUUAUAGUAUUGGGAGUAUGGUUAUUUUUAACUUUUAUUUUAGGUUCAGGCUACAUGUGCAAGUUUGUUAUAUUGGUAAAUUAUGUGUCAUGGGGCAUUGGGUGUACAGAUUAUUUCAUCACCCAGGUAAUGAGCAUAGUACCUGAUAGGUAGUUUUUCAGUCCUCAUCCUCCUUCCACCCUCCACCCUCAGGAUGAAAUUGUGCUGCCACCAGGUGAGGUAUGUAGUGAGCAGGGAUGAGCUCUAGGAGCCUAUAGAGACUUCUGAUUCACAGUGUUAGUUUCCUGUCUUUUUAAACCUGGUUUAAUUUCCUGCUCUCAUAGAGGAUCUUUUUUCAGGAGGCUUGGUGGUCUUUACUGCCAUCUAGCUUCAGUAAGGGGCACCCUAGUCUCAGAGAGAUUUUAACAAAUUUAAACCUCAGAGUAAAGGGAUUGGGGUCCCUGUUUCUUUUAUCUUUCAGAAAGCCCCUCUAUUUCUACCUACAUUAUUGAGAGCAAACUGAAACUGAGGUAAAGCAGCUCUGUUAACUUCCCCAGGAGCAUCUGCUCUAUGUUGAAUUAAAAAGUCCUGUUAUACCAGUGCCUUGUAGCAUUAAGUGAACAAACUAUUCUUUACUGCAAACAUUCUGAUGAUGUAGUUUCCUAUGACACACAUGCCUCAUCUCACAUAAAAGAGCUAAAUCCUUUUAUUUUAGAAGGUGAAUAGAUGAUAUCUAACCUGAAAACAUUCAGAAAUAUUGAUAUAGGCAUAUUAGAAAUAUGAAGAUAAUAAUAAUAGCUCAAAGAGCUAAAAAUGCUUGCUGCUGAAAAGUUAUUUUUACAUAUCAUGAGUUAUUUUAGUUUUUAAACUUAUAGCUUUGAGGAAAAAUAACUUUAAAAAAAAACAGCAUCUUUUCUUUGGAUGAAUGCAAAGUUUGCAUUGGCUCCAUGGAGUAUGUAUGUGGUUUCAGAGCCCUAAAAUUUUUCAAUCUCAUGCUUCCAUGUUUGUAGCUUUCCUUAAGUAUAUGAUGGUUCAUGGAUCUUAGCUUUUAUUCAAAAGCUUGAUGAUUGAAAAAAAAGAGGGCUGGAUGUUAGUUCUGUGUGGUGUGGGCAAGCCUUGUUGGGAGGUAGCCUGACCUGUGGAGUAAUUGAAAUGGGCUUCCUCAUUGAGGUCCUCGAAAUGACAGUACCUAUAGGCUUCUUUUCUUUAGGCUGGUCAGUUUUUUCAGAGAGGUUUUCUCUCCUCGGGAUAUGAGCGUAGCUGCUAGCAUUCUGGGGACAAGUAAUGAGGAAAUGGGAGUUAGGGGUUUCACUAUUCAUCCUAUAAACUUUGCUUGUUUUUUUAUUUUCCAUUCAGCAUUUCUACCUUCAACUUAGCCUGCUGUCCCUGAAUCCAGAGACCCUCUCUAGAGAAUCUCUCAUUUUUUCCUUGGGUGAAUGAGAGAUGGUUCCCUGACUGUAGGGGAGUGGUCUAACUGCCUGUGGCAUAUGGUCUUUUCUAAAAUGGCCAGAACAAUAUUUCUCAUUCUAUAUGCUGUGUGUUGUAUGUUGGGUAUUUGUGGGGGACAGAUGACUUAUGUCUAUAGUUCACAGAUCUUCAACUCCAGAGAACUGAGUUUAAGGAGCUGUACCUGGGAAAUUGUGCCUGAAGCUGUUCCUGAGGAAUCUGCACCUGGAUCUAAUGUACAUGCUGAGAUCCUGGAUUUGAGCUGAUGCCAUAGUGGGAUGAGACUUUGCCGUCUUGGGUGUGGGAUGAAUAUAUUUUGCACUGGGAAGGAUGUGAAGUAUUGUGGUUAAAAGGUGGACUGUAGUUCAUUGCAUUUUUCAACAAUGGCCACAACAGCAUCUCUUAUCCUAUGUGCUCUUCUUCCAAUGUGACUGUGUCCUCUCUCAUUAAGAUGCGGAGUCUAUUUCUCCACUCUCUCAAAUCUGGUGGACCCUGGGACUUCUACCAACAGAGUACAGUGGAAAUGAUGCUGGGCCACUUCCCGGUUUGGUCUUUAACUAGUCUGGCAGCUUCUCCUUUCUGCUUCUUGGAAGCCAGUAAGAAGUACAACUAUCCUGAGGCUUCUGCUGUGAGAAGCCCAAGCCAUGGGAGAGGCUCUGGAGAAUGAGACUUCACUGGGAGAGUGAAGAGAGGAGCGAAGAGAAAGAGAGAGGCACCAAGGAUCACUGAGUUGCCAGAACAUGAAUGCUAAGGCCAUAUUGGAAAUGGAUUCUCCUGCUUCAGCUGCCCCAGCUGAUGCCACCAGGAUCAGAGAUGAUCUGGCCAGCUGAGCCCUUCCUUAAUUCUAACCCAUAAAAUUGUGUGCGAAACAAAAUGGUUGUUUUCAACCACUAAGUUUUGGGGUAGGUUUUAUGCAGCAGCAGAUAAUGGAAAUACUGCUUGGUUUUGACUUUCAAAAAAAUCCAUUUGUUUUCAGGCUUGUCUGCACUCCUUCUUUAAGAGGUGCUAAGAGACUGGACUUAGUUCUUUGUCCAGAUAAAUGUGUUUUUCCCACUGCUAGCUUAGGUUUUAUUUUUUUCACGUCUGCUAAGUCAGUAGUCCAUUUGCUUUUCAGCUUCCAAAACUUAAUUAUUCUAAUUUUCCUUAUUGUUCUCUUCCUUGUGGAUUUAUGCAUUUUAUUUGCUCCUUUCUGUAAUUUUUGUGGUAUUUGGCAAACAGUGAAGGUAAAUAUACACAUUCAAUCUGCCACAUUUAACUGAAUGUCCCCUAUGCCUUUUAUUGACUGCUUAGAAUGGCAAUGGUAAUUUUGGCCUCUAGGCACAGAGAAAUAAGAGUUUUUUUGUGAGUCACAUUGGCCCAGAGCUCCUCCACUCCUCCACAAAAGGUGAGAACUUUGUAGGGCUGACUCAGAGAUCAAGGCUGAUUCUGAUUCUGGCUGGAACAUUCCUUGGGGGUGUGAUUACUAUGGGGACAUAGUAGGCGCUACAGCUGGCUCUGGGAAGUAGACUCUGGGUUGCCAAAAAUGGACAUACACACACACACUCUCUCUCUCUCUCUUCUUCUCUUUCUGUCCCUCUCCCUCUCUCCAUUAUAUGGUCACAUUUGGGUAAGUUAAUGAAGAUUCUUGAAGAAGAAAGCAGUAUGGUGAGGCUUUCUAGUGUCAAGGUCACUUGACAUUCAAUUGUGAGCUCACUAGAAGAGAGGGAGACAUGACAUAUUAAAUGUUACCAUGGAAAAGAAAAAGUCACUCCCAAUUAAAAGGAUUGAAAAAGGAGAACCAAAGUAAAAUAGGAUUUUGUAGGUCAAUGAAAAAGCCGAAAACAAAAGCUCUGUCACUUGGACUGUUCCAAGUUCUCAGGCAAGGAUCUGAGAAUUUCCCUGAAAAUAUGGUUUAGGGUUCUGAGAGGAAAAGGAAUCAGGCUUUUGUUAUUGAAAUAAACAACCAAAGAUCUGAAAUGGGUCAUUUACACAUUUUUUUAUACUUCAAAAAGGGAGACUGAAACUUCCAUUGAAUUUAUGUAAAAGAGUCCUUCACAUUGGCUGGUUGAAUUGCCUCACAAUAAAAAACAAAUCUGCCAAACUGAAGACAUUUGCAGCCCCCAGUGUUACUAAUUUUUUCCCCAAUUUCACCCUAGCCUCUUCAGCGUGAAGGUCACGUGGACCUAAGUACGAGCAAUUUUAAACAUAAGUGUUAGGUUUUGAAGGUGUUAUUUCUCAAGGGAGAAAGAAAAGUAAUAGAUCGUAAGACAGAGCCUUAAAACAGAGUUUUAGGGAGUGAGUAGGAGAGAUUUGUGACAUCUCAGAGUUUGAGAGAGCCCUGUGGAAAGUGGCAGGACAUUUUUGAGAAACCUUCUUUUUGGACAGGCUCUAAGUUUAACAAAAAAUACAUUCAAUGACUCAGGCAAGUUCAUUAAGAAAGACUUGGGUGUGAGGAGCAGCCCCGGGGAGCUGACCUGGGGCUGUGCAUCCAAGAAAUAAGAGAGCCCAGUUUAAGCAGGUUUUGAUGAGUGGGAGAUCCAGGGAUCAUUUCACGGAAAGAAAGAAUUGGCUUCAAGCUACAAAGGAAUUUUAUAGACCCUAGACAAUUCUCAAACUUGUAGGGAGUUCCAAGUUCUGUGGUGAGUAGAAACUUCUCUGGCAGUAAGAUAAACAACUCAAAGAGGAAAAAAACUAAUCAAGUCACUAUAGCCAAACGUAACGGAAGCAGUGUGGAGUAGUGCUGGAGAACGUGGGCUUUAUGGUUAGAUAGUCUGGGAUUUUAGCCUUUGUUUCUUCCUGGCUACUCAGGUGAUUUUGGGCAACUAACUUAUUCUUCUCUGAGCCUCAGCCUCCUAGUCUUUAAAAGUGGGAUAAUAAAAUGUAUUUCAUAGGGUUAUUUUGAGGAUUCGGGGAGAGGCUAUUUGUCCAGCACUUAUCAGGGGCCUAGAACACAGUAAAUGGUGGUUGCUACCACCAGCUACCACUGUCUUCAUUGUAGCAGAUCUAGAUUGCUGUCCACACAUGACGCAUGCUUCUCUUCCAUAGAGUACUGUUUCUGGGAAGUUGCUACUGAAAUGGGGACUGCAUUUCCCAAUGACCUUUGCAUUCAGGAGGGACCAGGUUACUGAGUUCUGGCCAAUGGAAUGCCAGUUGAAGUCAUGUACAUCACUUCUAGGCCUGGCCCAUCAAUGCUUCCUAGGUGACUGCCAUCCUCAUUCCCCCUCUGCUGGCUAUAUGUCAGUGGUUAGGGUGACCUUGGAAACCAGGUGCUGAAGUCAGCAGAGCCUUUGACAGUCUGGUUCCUGAGUAAUUGCAUGGAACAAAAUUUCUGAGUUUAUCUGUCAUAGCAAUUAGUGUUACCUUAAUAACGCAAAUAGCAUCAUCGUGGCUUAGGAUUGCAGUAGCCUGGUUAAGUCUGAGCUCAAGAAUAAACCCUGGAGAAAUCAGCCAGGAGGAAUAUUACCUUACUAGGGACCAGAAUGGCCCAGGAAGGGGCUGUGGCUCAUAUUGAAAGAUAAACCGUAGUUGAUCUGUGUACUUGUACAUUACUCAUUGUAAUUAGUGUUUUGUCAUGAAAUUUCUCUAUACUGUGUCCUAAACUGGUGACUGAAUGUUUAUCUGGUAGAUCUAUCACUAUAGAUAAGCCCCAGAAGAACUUAGUGAGGAAAAAAGAACAUGACCUUUGUGGGAGAAAGCCCAAUUUCCUUGAGUGUUUGAACAUUUAUUGCUAGUUACUAAUGUCAGGGAGAUUUUGAUUUUUAGAUCUCCCUUGGUUGACUUAAGGGCACUGCAAAUCUUUCUACUCUGUUGGUUGACAGUUCAGAUUUUCUUAAAAACUAAGCAACUUUUAAAAGGGUUGAGUGGGCAGAUUCCAUGUCUAGGAUCUAGCUAGGUCAGAUUACCUCAAGGAAAACUCAGUGACUGGAUGUUCAAGCCAUCCAAAGUUAUGACUUGCUUUUUUUUCUUUUGUUAUUCGUAACAGUUGUUCUCUCCUCAUUAUUUUCUGGAGGGAAAAAACAAAAAAACACUCAAAGUACAGGCCACUUCAUAGAGCCAAGUGUCUAAUUAUCCUCUUGGGUAGUCUGAUCUAUGUAGCAGAACAAACUGAAGUUGUUCUCUAGGUGGGAGUGGGUGGCGUUUCCUAGCCUUCAUUUGGGGAUGGUGGCAAGGAUGUGGGGAGUGAGUUGUAAGACCAGAAAUGCCUGAAACUGUGCCAAAGAACUGCGGCAUGGCUGGGAAGAUUGGUAUUGUUGGCAGACUCCAUUGUUACUUCGUUUUCAUCUUCUUAUCACUCUACCUCAUAUCUUUUCCAUCUUUCUGUUCUCUCUUUGGGUUUAUGUGAUACUAGUGUUAAUGGCCAAGCCAUAAAGCCAGGUGGGAAGAAAGCAAUGGCUUGGGACUCAUGACCAUGGGCUCCCGCCGACAGGGUCAAAGCUUAGUCCAUUAGAGUUGGGGGAGAGCAUUCCAAGAGCAGUGGUCAGGGUCUUGGGAGAUCUCAGAAUCAGGAAGUGAGUCUGUGAAGCCCUGACUCAAGACUCCUGAGGCAUGUACGUCAGAAAAGCCAACUCUUAUCAUUUGACCCAACCCGAAGGCAAGUGUCAUUUUUACAGAUGCCAGUCCUGCAUCACAGUCUUAACCAGAACCUUCAACUGGGCUGGGAGGUGAGAGUCAGUGAUUGUAGGUGCUUGGUAGAAAAAAAAUUGUUUUAAACCCAUUUCUCUCAUUUAUCAUCUUUUCUCCAGGUCAGUAUUAAUGCAGAUUUAGGUUUAUAGACUCUGAUCAAGGAUGCUGAGGAAGGAAAACCUUUUUAGUCUUUUUAGAAAAUAAUUAUAGUCAGCUCUUUUGACUUACAUGACCAGGAAGAAAGUAAAAAGUAUUGAGGUCUAUUCAAGAGUUAAUCAAAAGUGUAGUUCCCUCAAAUGCUAUGAUGUGUCAUGAUUGAACAAGAAAAUGAUACUGUUUUGGAUUUUUUCUAAUGAGUCACAUUGACACAGAGUGGGACUCAUGAUCUGGGAGGUCCAAGCAGUAUGGGUAGCUUAUUCUGUGUGUAAGGCAGAAUUCUAAGAUGACAUCUGAUGACUCACGUCUUGUAUAAUGCCCUCCCCUUGUGUGUGGGGAAUACCUGUGGACAUAAUGGGAUAUCACCCAUGUAAUUAGGUUUCUAAUCAGAUGACUUUGAGUUAAUCAAAAGUUUUCAGAGUUUAUCUGUUAUAGCAUUUAGUGUUACCUUAGCAACACACAUGGCAUGAUCGUGGCUCAGGAUGGAAGAGGCCUGGUCAAGUCCAAGCUCAAGAAUAAGCCCUAGAGAAAGCCAGAAAGAAUCCCACCUUACCAAUACCCAGGGGGGCAAAGGAGGGGCUGUCAUCCACAUUGGAAGACAAACUGUGGCUGAUCUGUAUACUUGUACAUUACUGAGUGUGUUCAGUGUUUUGUCAUGAAAUUUCUUUACACGUUGCCCUAAUCUGCUGCUUGGACAUUUGUCUGGUGGAUUUGUUACCACAGACAAACCCUAGCAGAAAGAAUGAGGAGAAAGGCCAUGACCUUUGCAGGAGAAAGCCCUGUUUCUUAAUCUGUGUGGGUUCGACCUAAUCAGGUGGACACUUAAAAACAGAUAAAGCAUCAGAGAGCUUUUCCUGAUGGGCUGCAGGGGGAGGCAUGUGAACUGCCUAUGAAAGGUCUACAGGGUGAGGACUGAAAGGGCCUCCUAGAGGAUUCAGCAACAUCUGGGAUCUGAGGGUGCCCUGGCCCAUUGUCAGGGAACUCAGUGCCAACAGCCUGAAUGAGCUUGAGAGAGACCUUCCUGCUCCACAUGAGAAUGCAGACCCAGUCACAUUUUGAAUCCAGCCUUGUGAAAUCCUGAGCAGAGAACCUAGUUACACUGUGCCUAGAUCCCUCACCCACCGAAACUAUGAGAUAAUAAAUGUGCAUUGUUUUAAACCAAUGAACUUGCGGUAAUUUGCUACGUAGUGAUAGAAAACUAAUUCACUCUGUUUAUUAGCAUACUUUUUAAAGUCUGCAGAAGCAACAUUUGAUUUAUACAGUGCUAUAGGUCAUUUCACUGUCAACAUCAUACUUUAUGACAUAAUGAAAAGGAUGAUAUCCUGUUUUUCUUUGAAGAACUCAUCCAAGCUCUAUGUUUCUCAUUUAGUUACUCCCUACAAAAAUAAUGUGUGAAUUUACUUUGAACUACUUUAGUAUACAUGCCUUUAGUUUUUCACUUUUGAAUCACUGUAAUGAAAACAUUGCAUUUAAGUUUUUAGUGUUUUAAAAUUUUGAAAUAAUUUCAAACCUAUUGAAAAGUUGCAAGAACUGCAUAGAGAACUCCCAGAUCCUCGAUACCCAAGGUUCCUCACAUUUUCUUUAUCUACUUACCUAUUUAUUUUGUCUUGACAGGAUGGCUCAUAACUCUUAAACACUACAGUGUAUACCUAUUAAAAAUAAGGAUAUUCUCCUUCUUAACCAUUAUACAACCCUCACAAAUCCUGAUUGCAUCAACAUUGAUGCAAUGUGGCUGUCUGAGGCACAGACACAUCCAAAAUUUACAAACUGUCCUAACAAUGUGUCUUUUCAUUUUCUGGUCCAGGACUUUAUCCAGGAACACACAUUGAAUACAGUUGUCAUGUCCCAUCACUCUCCAUCGAUCUGGAAUAGUUCUUCUGUCUUAAAGAUGACAGGCCUUCACUAUAUAUGCAGCAUGUCCCUCAACCUGAGUCUGUUUGCUGUUUCCACAUGACCAGACUCAGGUCAUGCAUUCUUAGCAGGAGUACCACAGAAAUGAUUCUGUGCUCAUCUGGAGAAGUCAGCAUUUUCCCUCUGCAUUUGAUGAAUAUUUUGUGGCAGAAUUGCCCAAUAUUAUAAAUAAUAUACUGUCUCUAUGCAAAUCUGUGUCCAGCUUCCAUUGGUGACUCCUGUCUAUAUCAACUACCAAAUGGUGCCAGAUGGAGAUUAUCUAUUCCCAUCAUUUGAUCUACAUUGAUUAAUUGGCAUUAUACUGUAAAUAAAUGGUUUCCUUUCUACCUCAUUUCUUUAUUUACUCAUUUAUUUCUAUCAGUGCAAUGUUAUGGUUUUCUAUUUUGCUUCAUGAAUUAUAAUUAGACAUGCUAAUUUAUUUUGAUGCACAAAUUGUCCUAGAUUUGGCCAGUGUGAACUCCCUAAACCUGGCUUCUGUGUCCCUUUGACAGGUCCCUAUCAUUCCUUAAGCAUUUCCUACUUCCUAGCAUAACAACACAUUCUAGGCUUACCUUAUACUUUCCCUGCCCCGAGCCUGUAAGCAGCCAUUUCUCCAGAAGUCCUUGUUCCUAGCAGUGGAAGAUGGUAUUUAAAAACAUAGGUCUGGAUGGGAUGCUAGAUGUGCUUAUUACUAUUGGGGUGUUACUGCUCCUAGACACUCUCAGUGGAUAGGACAAGCUCUCUGUGUAGACAUACAUACACAUACAUACAAAUAUAUACUCACACACAAACAUAUAUUCUAUUAGAGUUGAACAGAGAAGCUGAAGCAGUAUAUUACACACACACACACACACACACACACACACACACAGGGAAUUGGCUUAUGCAAUUGUUGGGAACUGGACACCUGUGGGCACAAACUGAAGCCUUUUGUCCACACAGAGAGCCGUCAGGAAGGAAGAUCGGGGGAAAGGGAGAGGAAUUGCAGAACAAUGCUGUUUGAUCAGGGUAGGCUUAGGCCCUCUUUUUUUUUUUUUAAAUUAAGAGACAUUAUUUUUUAGAGCAGUUUUAGGUUCACAGCAAAACUGAGAGGAAAGUACUGUGAUUCCCAUAUGUCUCCAUCUCCAUAUAUGCACAAACUUUCUCGCUAUUGACAUCCUGCACCAGAGUGCUACAUUUGUUGCAGUUGAUAAAUGUACAUUGACACAUCUUUGUCACCCAAAUACCAUAGUUUAUAUUAGGGUUCAAUCUUGGUGUUGUACAUUCUAUGGGUUUGCGCAAAUGUAUAAUGACACAUAUCCAUCAUUGUAGUAUCAUACAGAACAGUUUCACUGUCUUAAAAUCCUCUGUGUUCUAUUUAUGCCUCUCUCCCUCUCAAUCCUGGGCAACCACUGAUCCUUUCAGUGUCUCCAUAGUUUUCCCUUUUUCAGAAUGUCAUACAGUCGUAAUCAUAGACUAUGUAGCCUUUUCAGAUGGGUUUCUUUCACUUAGUGAUAUACUAAGCCUGCUUUUAGACACCUUUCAGCUGGUUAAGUCAGGCCCAACAAGUAGAAUCUCCCAUUUGACUAAAGCCGACUGAUUAAGGACUUUAAUCACGUCUGCAAAAUUCCUUCACAGCAGCACUUAGCACUUAGAUUAGUGUUUGAAUAACUGGGAAAAGGUAUGUAUAUGCUUCAACACGACUCUGCUUCCUUUCUGUCCUUCAGUUCUCACGAGAGAAUAGCCCUUGUAGCCCACCCUAAUCAGAAACAUAGUAGAAAGGGACUUCUGGGGACUGUAGUUUAGCUUAGCCAAACUGAUCCAUCAGAAAAAGCCAUCCCUCACACACAUCUAUGACAGUUUCUCCAUCUAUCAAUCUGUUAUUGUAUCUACCUAUCAAUAAAAAUUCGUGAGUAUCUGUUUGUCUACCCAUCUAUAAAAAUUCAUGAGUUCACACCUAUAAUUUCAAUCUUACACUCCAGGGUUCAUUUUAGCCUUUACCUUUUUCACAUUUCAAAAUUCUUCCUCAGACAGUAAGAAACCUGGUUCAUAAUACCCUCAAUAUAUUCAUUUAUUUGAUCAAUGAAUUACCUAAUCUGCUUAGUGUUACCCGUCUCCACAUACUUCAUUCUCCUCCUUCUGCCCUCUCUUGCUCACUGUUUUGCUCCCUGGCUCCUGGGUAAGCUGCUGCACUCCUCACUGCCUCUUCCUUGGAUGCUGACAUAUUUGCAUUCUUUCUUCAAUGAAAGAAAGAAUUGGAAGAAAGGAUGGGAAGAGAAGAAAGGGUGUUGGUUUUUACAAUAUUUUAAAGAGUUUUUCUUUUUCACUUUAUUUGUGUUCAAUCUUACCCCUGUUCAACCAAAGGCAUCCAUUACCUUGGGGAAAAUUCAGAUCGCUGAAGCAGUAAUGGAAAGAGGAAAAACAAGUCCGUAUUCAACCAUUGACUUCCAAUAUAAGAAGGUUUGCAUUCACAGCAGUACCACACAUCUUUAAAUCUUGGUUUGAUCAAGACAGCCAAGUGUUUUUUAAAAAUUCCAGAUACCCCCUUAAAAUAUUAAGGGCCCAGCUUGGUGGACUAUGUGUCAAAGUGUAGAGGAGACAGUUGAUAUCAUGUAAGAGAUGUGUCUACCAAGCAGGAAGAAGUGGAAAGCUUUCUUCUAUAGGAGGAAGGAGGAGAAGAAACAGGAUCAAGAAUGGGGUGAAGAUGUUGCCUUAUAUCUAGGCCUGUGUGUGUAGGGGCCAGGUGGUGUUGGAAAGAAAGCAGAUACAUCAGAUAGUUGAGGGGAUAGCUAGAAGCAGAGGCUACCCAUCCCCUGAUUCCCAUUGAUAACUAUGAGGAGACUGCAUUCAGGGUUCUCCUUGCAUCUUCAUAUGGAAGUGCAGUAGGGUGGUAACGGCAGCGUGAAAUGCUCAGGCAGAAAGAGGCCUGAGAUGGAGCCCCUUGUUCUCUAAUGCUUAUGCAUGUCACCUAAGGAAUGCAGAUGCUCUCACUGUGUCCUGGCCUCCUCCAUGAUGCAUGUGGGAAGUGGCUGAAAGUGCUUGCUGGUAACCUUGCCAACCAGAUGACUGACACAAAGAAAGAAGGGACUUCAUAAGUGGUCUUCCCAGGGUGGGGACUGAGUGGGAGUGGCAGCCAUAACUCAGAGGGGCCAUGGCACCAGGGAGAGCUGAGAGGGGGCCUAUGAGCCCCCUAGAAGCAAUUGCCAUUCAUUGCCCACCCAUGCUGAGAGUACAGGCCUCCUAUCAUGGCAGCUGAGGUGACCUGCACAGUGACAAGAGUGUCGACAGAGACCAAGGCCCAGAAAUAUUCUGGCUAAGAAACCUUGAGCAGAGAACAACCUGUAUAUCGGGGUUCUUUUAUCCAUUAUGUGAGGAUAUUUAAGCUUAGCUCUGCACCAAGAUAUCAUCUUCAUGUGGUUGGGACAAGGAGAGGGCAGUCCUCCUAAGGCAUGAAGAAUCCACUCUGUUAGGAGUUUAGGCUUUGAAAAGCUAUUGAACCAUGAGAUUCAGUUGACCAGAGAUUCUUUUAAGUGAGAGAUUAAGUUAUCAUUAAUGGGUGAUUUGAAAAUCUUUCUUUGCCAUCUCCUUUCCUCCACCACCACCACUACUCCAUCUCCCUUCCCAAGGAAUCAGGGAAUGAAAUUGCAGAAAACAGCUUGAGACUGAUAACAGAAAAUAAAAGUACAUUUUAAUCAUAGUGUAUACAUUUGGACCCCAACACAUUGCUAAACAGCCCCAUAUUCUAGGCCCUGCCUUGGGUUCGUGAGUGCCAUAUGGACGCCAUGUUGUUCUGUGGAGGCACCAGUUAGAAUUCUUUUGGCCAGGUUUUAGUCGAUUCAGCAAAUUGCUUAGGAGAGAAUGAUCCAUUGUCAAAGAGAUCAUUCUUUCAGGGAAUGCAUGUCUGGCAAACAUAGCCCUCAAUUUGCAGAUUGUUGUGGUACCUGUGGUAAUGAGGAUUCUGUAUCUUUUUCCAAUUUAAGAAAAUUUCUUGCAGUUCUCUGUGACAAUGAUGUGUAGUUCUUGACAUCCAAAUGAGCUGAUAUAAUUCUAACAGUAUGCGGCGUAUUCCUAUGGUGCUGGUGGGUGUUUUGUUUUAUAUUGCCUUACAGUUUUCGAGGUGAAUUUGACAUCUUAAGAUGACUAAAAUAUCAGUUUUACAUACCAGGGAACUUUUCCUAAUAUGGAUGACUAUCUUGGUUACAUUUCUGCUUGUUCUUACAAUGGCAGUUUCCAUGUGCAACAUCUGAAACCGUCUGUCCAGGGACUGGGACUUCCUUGGAUCCUGUAGCUUCUGUUCGUGUCCUGUGGUGAUUUCUAAAGAAUGCUAUCCUUACCAUGAGUGUCUAGACAAACUCUAUGGACAUUUCCUUAUUAUUUUCAAGGUCACAGAGAGAAGGAAUUUUGUCACAAAUGACCCAGAAAGUCCCUAGCACAUUGGGAAUGCCUAACUAUAGUAAAAAGCAAUGAGAGAGGUGAAUAGGCCCUGAAAUGAAGAAAACUCAGUUCUCCUGCCCCAUCAAAUCAGCAGUCCAAAUCUAAAUGGAAGAUGUAAAACAAAUUGAAGGGAAAAAUUGUUCUGGAUUGACAUCUUAGGGAUUUGUUCUUGAAUUAACCAAUAAAAUAAUAUAGGUUUAAUCUCUUAAGAAAGUAGGCACUGUUGUUGGGAGAGGUCUUAGUAGAUGAAUCACCUGAAACUUAAAUUCCACUUCUGAGAAUAAAUAAAAGUGGUAAAUAAGUUAACUUCCUGUUAUGUUUGUUUCUUGGCAACUCUGAGCCCCCUUACCAAUCUAGUUUCACUGAAUAUGAGCUAUUAUCCCCCUUUGAUAUUUUCCUUAAAGGUUUUAAUUUUAAUGGUUGAAUCAUCUUGAAUGAAAGAAAUAGUGGAUAAAGAAAUACGGUAAAGGCUUUAAGAGGGAGGGGACAAAAUGUAGUUUUCCUGGAUGUUGUUGUUCAGAGUGUUUGUGAAGAAAUGAUAAACACCAUGGCAACAAGAAAAAUAAUGAUUUGUACCCCAAAGGCUGUUCCAUGUAGUCAUGUACUAAGACAUAAAAGGAAAAAAAAUCAACCAAAUUUUCCCUUGGAAAAGCUUAUGAGGCAGAGGGAAUAAGUUAAGAAUUUAUUAUAUAGCCCACUAGAAAAAUACAGAAUAUAUGAACAUUUCUAAAUUUUACUAUCUGCCAGCAAAACCCAUAGCACUGUUGUACAGAGGGAAGAGUAGAGCGUAGGGCUUCUGUGUGUCUCUGACCAUGUCAGUGAAGAAGGGAUGGGGUGUGCGAUCUAGAUCACAGCUGGGAGGGUCAUGCCAAGUCGGGAAGAGUGAGUCACUCCACAGGAGGGUUAGGCAUUUGAAACAAUGUGGUCUCAGAGGGUUAUGGUUCCAUCGGCUCCUACUCUUCACUCUCCUAUAGCCUCUUUCACUUCAUAUUUUCACCUGGGACUACAGGACAUAUAAUAACUACUUGAUAUUGAGCGUUUAUUACCCACCUGACACCAUUCCCAGUGUUUUAUGUGUUUUUCUUAAAUAAGACAUGAAGUUAUUAGGAUGUAGACAUGUUGAAUAGUAAUUAAUGACAAACUUUGAAUUUACACAGGGUCUUUUCUCCAUGGAUUAGCACAGGAAGACAGUGAAAUGAGCAGUGAGAUUCAACUUGAGAUCUCAAAUUGUUCGGGUUCAAGGUUAUCUUAUUUGGGAGAGUUGAACUCUAGGACUACUACUUAUUUGUUUAGAAAAGCUAUCUGACAGACGGCAAAUAAAUGAAACAUCUGAAUACAUGACCGUAACUUCUAUUCAGAGGGUGAGGCAGGGAUGGGUAGCUGUCCACAGGUGCUAGGAGUGGCUUCUCAGCCUGGGGCCAGCUACAUUUCCUAGACCCCUCUUGCACUGGAGUGGGGCCAUAUGUCCAAUGAGUGGAACAUGAAUGGAAGUAACAUGUCACUUUUGAGUUAAUGUGGUAAAAAGCCUUUGUGCCUACUCCCUCCUACUUCACACACAGUCAUGCACACUGAAUAGGAACAUCUGUUUUGUUUCAUACAUAAAAUAAGCUCACAUAGGUUGGGCACGGUGGCUCAUGCCUGUAAUCCCAGCACUUUGGGAGGCUGAGGUGGGCAGAUCACCUGAGGUCAGGAGUUUGAAACCAGCCUGGCCAACAUGGUGAAACCCCGUCUCUGCUAAAAAUACAAAAAUUAGCCAAGUGUGGUGGUACAUGCCUGUAAUCGCAGGUACUUGGGAGGCUGAGGCAUAAGAAUUGCUUGAACCAGGGAGGUGGAGAUUGCAGUGAGUCAAGAUAAUGCCACUGCAUUCUAGCCUGGGUGACAGAGUGAGACUAUGUCUCAAAAAAAAAAAAAAAAAAAAAGAAGUUCACAUAAAGAAAACAUACGAAGUCACUGAGAUUUCUGGGUUUACCUCUUACAGCAGCUAGAACUACCCUCACUAAUAAGGAAAAUUACCUUGAGCCAUUAAAAUUAUAAAGGUUUAUUUUGGUUUCCUUUCCAACAGAAAAUUUGGUUGUGAAAGACACAAGUUAGAAAGAGCUCUUUUUCAGAUGGAUAUAAGGCACAUUUUAGAAAUUUCAGCAAAAGUAAACUAAUUUUUUUUCUUGGAAAACUAGCAUUUAAAUAUUUAAUUAUUUCAAAGAAAAGCAAGGUGAUAUCGAGUGGUAGCAUUUGAGAGGGAAAACUAACAGGCAGAAUAUAACUUUGAUUUCCAUAGACCUUUAUAAUUCAAUGGAAGUUGCCUGUGUGCCAUGUUCUGGGCUCUGAGUUAAGAGCUUUACAUGUACAUCUUCUUUAAUUAUGACAACCCCCCAGAUUGGCACUAUAAUUAUCCCUAGUUUAAAAUGAGAAAAUCGAGACUCAGGGAUGUUAAAUAACAAGUUUAGUGUCACACUCUAGGAAGGGAUAAAGUCAGGAACCAAGCAUGAGGCUGACUGCUGAGCCUGAGCUCGCCACUACUGCGCCAUGUGGCUUUUCAUUUUGCACACGGCAUCGUCGCCACUUAUGGAUGAAAGUGCUAAGGCCCAGUGAAGGGAAAUGCGUAGCUCAGGUCCAAACUGCCAGCAUUUGUCAAAGUUGGAUUUUCUGACUCUGACUUCAGUACUCUCUCAACUUGGAAUACCAUAAAUUAAAGCAAAUACUAACUUGGUUAUGGGGCAGUCAAUAUUUUUAGAGUGUUUAUAGAAAGGAAGUAAUUUUGGCCUGGCAAAAGAGCAAACUGAAGGUAGUUUUACAUUUCUAUUUCAAAAAGAAUCAUUCAAAUUGGGAAAAUUCGCAUGCGCUGGAUCACCCUGUGGGAUAUUCAGGGAGAGCAGACCCCUUCGGCUUCCUCUCCAGCCGUUUUAAAAGCAAAUUUUGUAGAUUAUCUCACCUGGCUUGUUGCCCUCGGAGUCUGAUGCACAAAAUUGCUUGGUGUUUGGCAAGAUUUGAUUGGCAAGAAAGUGUUCCUGUGGUUAGUUUUUGUGUCUGACCCUUGCUGGGAGGUUAAGGCUAGUUUUUAUGCUUGUGCCCUCACAAAGGUGAACUACCCUGUUCACCUCCAUUCUCCUCAGUAGGAGAGAAGUGUGGCCAGGAGGAGGGGCACCAAGGGGGGUGGACCUCACGGUGACAAGAGGGCUCUGGAGCCACAUUUCCUGGGUUUGGGCUCCAUGGCCAUCAUCCUCUGGGAAGUGACCUUGGACUCUGUGCCUCAGUUUCCUCAUCUGUAAAACGGGGGUGGGGGUGAGACUUUUGGUUUAUGUGAUUGAAAAGAUAACACAUGUCAAGGUCAUAGCCUUAGAGGAGAUACACACUAAGUGCUCAGUCGAAUUUAGCUAUAGUAUAAAUGGCAUAUUAAAGAAAAUGUCUGAAGGAGGGUGUGUAUAAUUAACAAAGAGCAACAUAGCCUUCUUGCUUGUGAAUUGUCUAGUCGUAUUUUCACCAGUGUCUGCUGAUACCGAAUUUGGCCUAGACACAGUGGUUUGAAGGAACCAGUUGGCGACAGGGUUUGGAAGGAAUAGGUCCAUGUCUAAGAUGUAGCAUCUGGCCUCCAAGUUCCUGAGAAGCAGCAGGAUCCUUGGAUGGGACAGAUCAUUAAACAUGUAGCCUUGACCACCCCUUCCUCAUUCUUGGAAAAAAGCCAACAAGGUGACUCUUGGGGAAUGUUUCACUCUAACCAGUUUUCUUCUUUUUUUCUCCCCUCUCUCAUGUAUUUUUGCUCUGAAUUAAAAAAAAAAAAGUCCUGCUGUGGUCAUUUUGAUCUCAUCAUGGUUUUUAAUGUCAGGCUGGUCCAUUCAAUAUCUAGUUAGCGAUAGGAGACCAGCUGCUUCUCAGGCAAAGGAAGGAAAGCACGAACCUCCAUGUUCUCAUCCCCCUCCUCCCAAUUAUGUGGUCUCUUAUCCCAAGAUUGCCUGGAGGAAUGUGGCUUCAGGCCCUGAGAGCCUCCAGGAAACAGGAUUGCUCAGGGGGCCUGAGAAACUGAAGGCAGGCACCGAGUAGGUCCAAAGAGGCCGGAAGGGCUGGUUGUGAAGCAAGGUGGAGGGAGUGGAGGGAAGUGAAUGAUGGGGCUGCAGAGCUUUGUCUGAGAUGUGGGUGAAAGGUUAGGCUACCUAUGGGCCUAGAAGAGCACUACUUUCAGAAAAGGACUGGCAAGAAGAAUGUAAUGAAGCGUCAGCACUGGAGCUUUCUAAUCCACAGGAAUGCAGCUGAAUGCUAACAGGUCUUCUCUUAUUCCCCAUUCUCUUUUCGUGCAUCUAUUCUGGAAACCCAGGUCCUUGUGCUGUCUUUGAAUUUCCUCUUGGCUGAUGAGUUUUUAAUCGUAGUUCAGAGUCUCUGGGACUUUUCCUCAGGCUCCUUCUUAAGCUUAUAGGAUUAUCUGGCCAGAUCAGUUAUUCUUUCUUUUGAACUGUGUAAAUUAUAAAUAACUUUCCUGAGAAAAGAGCACCGGAUGGGGAGGCAGAAGCUCCAGCGUUGUCCUUAAUUGUGUGAUCUUGUAGUCACGGUCCUAGAUGCCCCUUUUAGGACGGAGGCACUUACUCUCCCAACUGUUGGGAAGAUGGGCUGUGAUGGUUUACAGCUGAAUUUAUCUGUAAGCACUGCCCUUGGCCUAAGGCACUGAUUGCUAGUGGUGGUGAUUUUGCCCCACAGUGGAUAUUUGGCAAUGUCUAGGGUCAUUUUUGGUUGUUACAGCUGAGGGGGGUGCCCAUGCUACUAACAUCGAGUGAGUAGAGCUCAGGCAUGCUCCUAAAAUCCUGCAAUGCAUAGUAUCCUACAAUAAUUAUCCAUUCCAGAAUGUCAAAAGUGCUGAGGUUGAGAAAUGCUGUCCUAAGGUAGCCACCAUACCCAGGAUUAAACCUCCUCCUCAAGGGCAGUCUGGAUACUCUAACAGGUUAAUGCAGGGGGGUACAAAGAUCUGGUGCCUUGCUUCAAUUUAGGGCCAUCACAAAAAAGGCCAUCCUAGCUCCAGAGCUCUCCAUGGGAUCAGCAGAGGCCUCUGGGACUGCACCACACUUCAACUCCUCCCCCUGCCCAGUCCAGCUUUGUUCCCUCACAGGCGCUAUUCCUGAGAAACACUUCCCAACAAACCUUCUGCACACAAAUCUCCACCUCAGAGUCUGUUUCCCAAGGUACUCAAACUAGGACAGUUCAUAUCAAAAACAAUCCUAAGGAGCAGACUGAGUGUUGCACUCUUUUGCUCCUUGUUAAAACUGAGGCAGACUUCAAUUCACUUACAGACUUCUAUUAGUAAUGUGUGACACAAAUUGCUAAUUGUAUCCAGUGUCUCUCCUCUCCCAUUUUAUCCCAAUAAUACAAAUUCUAAUGGGACAUAUGCUGCCUGUAUGUUAGUUAGGCUUGAUAACAUGACCAUGCUCUGACCAGGGAGGUAAAUGGUUGUGAUGGGUGGCUCAAUCCAACUUCUGGGUUGGGUUCUUAUGGAAAAGGACCAUGUCCUCUCCUCCCCUGGGCCCCUUGCCACUGGCUGGACUGCAGAGGUAAUGGGAGAGACUAGAGCAGUCACCAUGAAAGCCUCAUGCAGAGGAUGUCAAAGUAGCAAAAUGGGAGGAACGUAGGUCUGUGAUAAUUAUGGGGUCAGCCAACAAACCUCGGCCACUUUUCAGGAUUUUUUUUUUUUUUUUUUUGAGACAGAGUCUCGCUUUGUCGCCCAGACUGGAGUGUAGUGGUGCGAUCUCGGCUCACUGUAACCUCUGCUUCCUGGGUUCAAGCGAUUCUCCUGCCUCAGCCUACUGAGUAGCUGGGACUACAGGCUCAUGCCACCAUGCCCGGCUAAUUUUUUGUAUUUUUAGUAGAGACGGGGUUUCACCAUGUUAGCCAGGAUGGUCUCGAUCCCCUGACCUCAUGAUCAGCCCGCCUCGGCCUCCCAAAGUGCUGGGAUUACUGGUGUGAGCCACCGCACCCGGCCCACUCUUCAGGACUUUUAUGUGAGAGACAAAACUUUUUUCUAUGUUACUAUAUUUUGGAACUCUCUUUUGCAGCAGCCAAAUUAGUACUUGAUAAAAGAAAAACUUCAACUGAAUUAAAUUUAAAGGAGUUUAAUUGAGCAAUGAAUGAUUCGCAAAUCGGGCAGCCCCCAGAAUUAUGGCAGAUUGGCAGCGACUCUAGCACAGCCACGUGGUGGAAGAAGAUUUAUAGACAAAAAACUGGAAAUGACAUAUAGAAAUCAGAAGUGAGGUACAGAACAGCUGGAUUGGUUACAGGUUGGCUUUUGCCUUAUUUGAACACAGUUUGAACACUCAGCAGUGUAUGAAUGGUUGAAGUACGACCGCUGGGAUUGGCCAAGACUCAGGUAUUAUUACAGGUGCAUACUCCUAGUUAGGUUUUCAAUAUAGGUUGCAGUUAGUCCACAAGGACUCAAAUAUAGAAGUACAGAGUCCUUCUCAGGCCAUACUUAGUUCACUUUAACAUACCUAAACUAUGCAUAUCCUUAGCAUACCAAAAUGAGCAUGAUAAAGACUAUAAAAAGAUGUAUUAUUUUUAACGAUGUUUCGUUAACCAUGUUUUUUAUUUUCCAUUCUCAAGAUAAACCACAUAAUUUUAUGAUUGAAUCCCUAUUGUCUGCAUCAUAGCUCUAACUAGCAAGGGAGAGUGGGGCUGGGAAAGAGAGUAAGAACAUCAGAAUCCUCUAGAAAAUUGUUAUGAAAAUGCACACACUCAGGCCUCUCUCUUAUAGAGAUUGUAGUAUACCUUUGGGGUGGAAUAUAUUUCAUGUAGGUGUUUUGAAAACCUAGGAUAGCUUAUAAAACUCACAUCUGCUCUUAUAUGUCACCUUGCUCCAUAAAGGAAGCACAGAGUAGAACCUCAACUUAUGUCUUUUGAAUAACUAAAUGAAAUUUCUAGGACUAGGGGCAUAGUAGAUGCUAUGGAACUUUUUCUUCUUCUAGUUGCAAAGCUAACAGCUCCUUAUGAGAACUCAAAAGGCACUCCUUAUGUUCCCAGCAAUAAAGAUCUAAGGCCCAACAGAUUUGUGAGUAUCCAAGAGAGUAAGAGCAAAGAUAGAUAGAACCCUAUCACUUGCUUUUAGUAGAUAUAUUUUUAAAUGGGGUUUGAAAUCUAAAACUCCUCAUAGACAUUCAGAUGUAUUUCAAUUAGGAGGUUAUAUUGUACACAUGUUGUAGGUACAUUAGGUGACCCUAUUUUCUUGGCCAAAGAAUCACUGGGCAUUUAUGUAAAAUAUUUACAGGUAGAUGACCUUUGGCUAAAACUUUCAUAGCCUAUAAUUUUAUUUACUGACUAGCUUUAGUAGAAGUAUCAAUGCACAUUGAUUAAAUAGUUGUGUGUAGCUAGUUCAAAUAGCUAUGUAAAUCCAGAUUAGGAAGUAAUGAGCAUCCUCAUACUACACAGAGAUUUAUUUGUGACUCUUAUUGAGCUCAAAUAAUUGGGUAGCGUGAUGCUGACUAAAGCAAGAGUUCUGCCUAGUGCUCAUUUGAACUGGUGUCUCCUGCUUUUGGUGCCUCACAGAAGUCACUCUGCUGGGGCCCAGGACCCCUCAGCCUGCAGCCCGGUGGUCAGGACAUUGAUAGGAGCCCAGGUCCCAAGCUGCUUUUGAGACUUUGGAUUUCUCCUUUAUGCUGAAGCCCUUUCCUUCAUUGUGCUACAUUAUCAGGGGUUUUCAGGGCCCUACUGGUCCCUCUAGGCUCUCUAUUACUCAUAAACAUUUUGCUUCAUCUCCUCCUACUAAUAGCUUCAAUCUUUCCAUAUUCAAAUAAGUUCAAAAUCUUGAGAGGAAAAUUGGCUCAUCUUUGUGUCCCAGGCUAGGUCAGAAAACGCUAACUCCCUCAGGGAUGAAUAGCCCUUGGGUCAGUGAUCACUUGGUAGGGGACCCCCGUCUGCCAUUUUCCUGAGCUCAGGCAAAAUGAAGGGCAGUACUAGCUUAAAAGAGGAAGGUGGGCACUUCUAAUGAUGUGUGCAGUUCCCACAGAAAGGCAUUCCUGUUGUUCAGAAAUCAAAUUCCAUUGUGCUAUAGAGAAAACUAUUUAUUAAAAAGUCUGUGUUGAGGCCGGGCGCGGUGGCUUAUGCCUGUAAUCCCAGCACUUUCGGAGGGCGAGGUGGGUGGAUCACCUGAGGUCAGGAGUUCAAGACCAGCCUGGCUAACAUGGUGAAACCUCAUCUCUACUAAAAAUACAAAAUUAGCUGGGUGUGGUGGUGCAUGCCUGUAGUCCCAGCUACCUGGGAGGCUGAGACAGGAGAAUCACUUGAACCUGGGAGGUGGAGGCUGCAGUGAACCGAGAUCCCACCACUGCACUCCAGCCGGGAAGAGACAGAGGGAGACUCAGUCUCAAAAAAAAAAAAAAAAAAAAAAAAAUCUGUGUUGAGAGUUAUAAGCAGGUCUGUAAGAGGCCUGUGCAAGCUGUCCCUUAAUUUAGUUGAAGAUGGUCUUUCUAUUCUGCAUGUAUUUAUCAACUUCGGAAGAGAUCUAGAUGUAAAUUCCAGACCUCUGUUAUCUAUGCAGAAAUCCUAUGAGGGAAAGCAGGGUCCAUGAGCCUUUUAGUAUUAUAAGAAUGUGGAAUGUUAAAUGGGAAAGGUAUCAGAACUAAGAGAUUUCACAUUUUAGGGAUAAUAAGAAUAUUCUCAUGGGUUAUCAUGGUGAUUAAAUGAAGUGACCCACGUAAUGCAUCUGGCAUUUGAUAGAUGAUCAGUAUAUGAUGGUGGUUAUUAUUCAUUGUGGGAUCAAACAUCCUGAAAUUUUGAAAACAUUUAUCCUGAGUGGUUUGGUUUUUCUGUUUUCAUUGUUUUUAUUUGCUCAGUUUUUGCCAUGAAAAAAUACAAUCUCUCUAAUCACUGAGAUAUUAAGAAACAUGUCCAAUAUCCAAAGGAAGGUUGAAUAUCCCAAAAGCUUUCAAGUUCCCCUUAGGUGCUUUGACUUUAGUACUGGAAGCUUCCACCAGAUAAUUAGUGAUCUCUUAUUAAUUCAAAGCAUACAGGCAGUAUAUGCAAACUUGAAUAUGAUUGGGAAUAACACACAUCUAUGUGUUUUCUUAAAAUAUUGAGUGGGCAUAAAUUAACCUCACCUUCUCCUCCAAAAUUGCGAAAUGCAUAAUAUUCUUUGGCCGUUUAAAAGAAUGAGGUAUAACUUCUACAUUCUAAGAGGAACAAAUGUCCACAAAGUGUUGUUAAAAAUCAAGUUAUAGAACAGUUUUAUAGUAUGUUGCUAUUUUUAUGUAAUUGUAAUAGUAUAAUAAAAUACAUGACUUGUGCAUAGAAAAAUAAUCAGAAAAAUACACAAACUUCAUGACAGUUGUCCCUGAGGGCAUGGGGGACUUUUACUGAAAAUAUUUCAGUGUGGUUUAAAUUUUUACAAGGAAAGGAUAAUAUUUUUGAAAUUAUAAAAAUAAAAAACUUAAAAGUAGAUUAAAACUUGCAAAAUAGUUUAUUUGAAGCAAAUCUUGUAAAGUAUACAAGGUGAUUAAACACAAAUAAUGUGUUUCUGUUACUGACUUAAGUCAGCUCUUCUACCACUUGGUUUAGUGUUCCUAAUAUUUUGGCCACCUCAGGCAAUUUUUAUUACUUAUUACAAGCUUUUCGGUUUCAGUUUGUUCUCAGCUUCUAGAAUACAAGGUGUUAAAUAACAUCUCACUGCACUUUUGAUUACUCACUCUCCCAAGACGUGCUCUCAAGUUAUGCUUAAAUUCUCCAUCUCAAACUAUCUGCUUCCCGGCCUCUGGGGGCUCUUCUCCCUAGAGGUGGUUCUGGGCUGGCUUUGAAGGAGUGUAAGGACCCAGUUGCUCCUGAAUCUAUUGUUAGGUGAUUGCUGUUCUCCUUUCAAACUGUGCUCCCUAUUGCUCAGGUCCAUAUGGUGACCCUCAAAAUGUAGCGUACAUAAGUAUUUAUUGAGGUUUGCUUAAAACUCAAAGUCCUAGCUCCAGGGAUUCUCCUUCAGUAGGUAUGAGAUGGGCCCAGGAAUCUGCAUUUUAAUUAAGAAUCUUAUAGAAUUCCAUUCUACCCCAGGGGUUCUGUGGAAGUAUUUCAGGCACUGCAGUCAGGGAGGGUUCCAGGGUUCAUUCACUGUCAAUCAAAACAUAUCUGCUUUUAUCUUUUUUAAAUUAGGCAUCUGGGCCAGGCGCAGUGGCUCUCACCUGUAAUCCCAGCACUUUGGGAGGCUGAGGCAGGCAGAUUGCUUGAGGCCAGGAGUUUAAGACCAGCCUGGCCAAGACAUAGCAAAACUCCCCUCUCUACCAAAAAUACAAGAAUUAGCUGGGCAUGGUAGUGUAUGCCUGUAAUCCCAGCUACUUGGGUAGCUGAGACAUGAGAAUCACUUGAACCCAGGAGGUGGAGGUUGCAGUCAGCCAAGAUCAUGCCACUGCACUCCAGCCUGGGGCAACAGGAACAGACUCUGUAUAAAUAAAAUAAAAUAACAUAACAUAACAUAACAUAACAUAACAUAACAUAACAUAACAUAAAAUAAAUAAAAUAAAUAAAAUAAAAUAAAUAUAGCGUCUGGUAAGAUAUUACUUGUAGAAAUCUGUUCAUCUGCAUCUACUGAUCUAAAUCUCCCAAUCAUCUCCUUCUGUAUCAUGAUUUGAAAGACCUUUUUCAAUCCAUAAUUCUAAGAAUAAUCAAGCAAGCAAACAAACAAGGCUCCUCAAAACUCACUUCUUUUCUAGCUUUGUUAUGGCUUCCUUUUUUUACAAUACAGCUGGGAUUUUUUUUUUUUUUUUUGGUAUUAGGUAUAAGGUGAGGAUCCAUCUUAAUUCUUAUCCCAAAUAAUUUACUAAUUAUAUUUACAAUUCGAUAAGAACAAUCUGUUUUCCCACAGAUUUGAAAUGUAAUAUUUAUCAUAUGUCACAUACCUACUUGGCUUUAUUUCUGGGUGUCUUCUUCCCUUGAUAUAGCUGCUAUUCUACUGCUAUCAUUCUUUCUUAGUUAUGAUAUCUUUGUAGUGCAAUUCAUUAUUUAGUAGAGCUGAUUGUCUUUCAUUAUUCUUCACUUUGAAUAUUUUUUCAUUGGGUUGACUUUUAUAUCUAAAAGAACAAUGUUUGCUUGGUUCUGGAAAAGUCUCUGAGAUCUUAGUCAGAAUUUCAUUCAAUUUACAAAUUAAUCUGGUAGAGGAAGAAAAAUUGACAUUGAGUAUUGAGCAUGUCCUUCCAGGAAUAUAGUAUGGUUUUCAAUGUAAUUGGUCCUCUUUUAUGUCCCUCAGUUAAGCUUCCUUUCUGCCUUUUGGUAGGAUCUGCACAUUUCUUAUCAGUAUUCAGUAUGGAGUAGUACAGAGCAUGUUGGCUCUGGAAUCAGAUGCCUGGGUUCAAAGCCUUACCAAUCGAGACUCUGUGCUAGUUGCUUAAUCUUGCUUGUCUCAGUUUUCUCUUCUGCAAAAUGGGUAUGAUAUUAACAGUACCUAGCUCAGAGAGUUCCUUAAGGAAUAAGUAAAUUUCAUGCAAAGCACCUAGGACAUUUCUGGCAUACAUUAAGUGCACUUUACAUUUUAAGUUAAGCUCUCUUUCCAUAGCUGUAGCUGUCUUAUCCAGAAAUUACUUAAGAAUGCUCCUUAAGUGUCCUGCACUUGAACACAAGUGAAGUCUUUGAAGUGAGAAACACGUAAGCAUAUAAAGUAGAUAGGUUAAAUAACAACUCAGAGACGAGUAUUUAAAGCACCAAGGAUUUGAUGGUAUAGACAAGGAAGAACAGCCUCUGUGGAGGCGGUCUCCUUGAACAAAGGCAAAGUCAGGGCUUAUAAUUAUAAAAAGCUAAACCCACAACAUUUCACAAGAAAAGGGGAUUGAUGUAGGCAAAUCUAGUUUAGGGUCAGCUGGUUGCAGUGAUGCUCUACAGGCUGUUUACUGGCCUAUCAUGGUUCUGUGGUUUCAGUAGGAAUUGUGUUGCCACUAAAGCUCAUGCUCUGUAUUCAGGCUCCUGCCCAGAACUACUUUCUUUGAUUUUAGAUAGUCUUCAGUCAUUCCCUAGUCUGUACUCCAUGGUAUAAAUAAUUAUCAUACAUUUAACUAUAAUUUUAUUUUUGCAGUUUUAACCCCGUGGAUUCUGAACUACUCACCACUAACCCACUGUCGUAUUUACCUUUGUCUGUAGGUGCUUUGACUGGAUUCUAGCACAUAGUAAGAGCUCAACAAAUGUUCCAGUGAAUGAAUUAAUCUCCUGGCCUAUAUACAAGUUGGGGACAAGGAUCUUUCAAAGAGGCAUAGUACACUGACUACUGGAAGUUAUGUGCUUCUAUUUUAUACAACCUCUGUGGAUCUGUUUGCUCAUCUUAAAAGAUGAAGUUAGAGUCCUAUCAAUGAUUUUCAACCCUUGUUGCAUGUUAGAACCACCUGCCAAAACUAAAGAAAAAAAAACCUCUAAUGCUCAGGCCCCACCUCACAUGGAUUGGGUCAGAAUCUUUGGUAUCUUGGCACUGCCUUUUUUUUUUUUUUUUGAGACGGAGUCUCGCUCUGCUGCCCAGGCUGGAGUGCAGUGGUGCAAUCUCGGCUCACUGCAAGCUCCGCUUCCCGGGUUCACGCCAUUCUCCUGCCUCAGCCUCCCGAGUAGCUGGGACUACAGGCGCCCACCACCAUGCUCGGCUAAUUUUUUGUAUUUUUAGUAGAGAUGGGGUUUCACCGUGUUAACCAGGAUGGUCUGGAUCUCCCGACCUCCUGAUCCACCUGCCUGGGCCUCCCAAAAUGCUGGGAUUACAGGCGUGAGCCACCACACCCGGCCUGGCACUGGUAUUUUUAAAAACCUCUCCCUGACCCCCAGCAGGCAAUUCUACUCUGCAGCCACACUGAGAUCCACUGGGCCAGUAGAGAGCUGACUUUAGAGGGAUCAAGAAUAGCUUGCUGGAUGGAAGGAGCUCUCCCUCCCAUACUCCAAUUGAAGAGACCACAUGUUGACAUGGUGGAACCACCUGAUAGAAGCACCUGAAUCACCACUGGAAGAAUAGCUGUUCUGGAGAGCCCUUCAAAACCUAAAUUGGACUCUGCAUAAGCAAGAAAUCAAUUUUCAAAUGUAAGCCUUUGAGAUUUCUAGCUUUUUGUUACUGCAGCAUUAGCUAGUCUAUCCUACCUAAUACUUUCUGUACCAACAUCUCUCAGAUGAAGAAGAAAAGCUGUGCAAGAAAGAGGAAUUAAGUAAAAUAUGCAGGUAUAGAGGUCACAUAUUCAGAUCAAAUACCUGACUGAGGAGUUAGUGAAGGCAACACUGAGGAAGAGGCCAUGAAGAAGAAAAGUGAUGGCCGGGCGUGGUGGCUCAUGCCUGUAAUCCCAGCACUUUGGGAGGCUGAGGUGGAUGGAUCAUGAGCUUAGAAGAUUGAGACCAUCCUGGCCAACAUGGUGAUACCCUGUCUCUACUAAAAAUACAAAAAUUAGUUGGGUGUGGUGGCGCAUGCCUGUAGUCACAGCUACUCAGGAGGCUGAGGCAGGAGAAUCGCUUGAACCUGGGAGGCAGAGGUUGCAGUGAGCUGAGAUUGUGCCACUGCACUCCAGUCUGGAGACAGAGUGAGACUCCAUCUCAAAAAACAAACAAACAAACAAACAACAACAAAAAAAGUUGGGGGGGGGGGGUGGCCACUGUUCCUAGACUUCUUCUGUGGUGAAGUGGAAUAUUAAAACAUUUUAAUAUUUGGUAUUUAAAAUGUUGUCAGACAUUUUCAAGAGACAAAUUGGUACAACCUUUUUAGAAGGUGAUUUAGCAACAUAAAUGAAUAAUUAAAUUGUACAGAUUCUUUGGCCCAGCAAUUUCACUUCUAGAAACUGAUCUUCUAGAAAUAAUGGGUAAGUGUGAAAAUGUAUGUGUUCAAGGAUGUUUAUUGCAAAAUUAGUGGGAAAUUAUAAAUAUCAUAAAUAUUCAACGACUGGAAAUUAUGCAAAUAACAAAUUAUUUCAUUUCUACCUUAGAAUACUAUACAUGAAGUACAUAGUAUUGAAGAGUGUAUAGUAAUGAAGAGCUAGAUUUCUGUAUAUUAUGGACAUGGUAGCCACACUAGAGGUAGGUAGCCUCUAAGAUGGUCGCCGGUCAUCCCUGCUUCCCAGUAUUCAUGCCAUAGCGGCAUCCCCUCUGCUUGUGUGUGGGCUAGACCUAGUGACUUGCUUUUAAUGAAUAGAUAUGGCAAAAGUAAUAGAACAACACUUUGGAGAUGUCAUCUAUCUUAACAAAAAGAUGGCUUCUGUCUUGCUUGUCCUCUUUUGCUUUCUCAUUUGCUUGCUCUCGGGAAAGUCAGGUGCCCAUUGUGAGCUAGCCUGUGGAGAAGUCCACAUGUCUAUCACCAUACCUGGCAUAUAAUACACCUUCAAAAGAUAUUUUUGAAUAUUUUAAUUCAGCAAAUAUUUGCUGAAUACCUGUCUAUAUGUCCAGGUAUUGUGCAAGCUCUGCUAUAGAGUGGCAUUGUGCAAGCUCUGCUAUAGAGUGCUGAGCUAGUAGGCACAGUUCUUCCCCUCAUAAAGGGUAUAGUCUAGGGAAGGAAGUCAAUAUUAAGAGGGCAAAGAGAGAAGCUUGUGGGGGAGCUCUGAGGUGGGGACCACAUUGGAGUGUUUGGGGAAUGAGUAAUGGUGGCUGAAGUAGAGUGAGGGAGAGGUAGACAGUGAGAGGUGGGGCUGGAGAUGUGGGCAGAGGCCAUAGGAAAAUUCUCGAUUUUAUCCUAAGUGCCAUGUGAAGUCACAGCAAAGGCUUUGAGUAGGGAAGAGAUGAUUUUAUUUUGAAAAGUUUACCCUGACUGCUUUGUGGAGAACAGGUUGGCCACAGGCAAGAAUGAAAGUAGGAAGGCUGAUGAUGAGGCAAUGACAUUGGUUCAGCUGAGAAAGGUGGCAAUGGAAAGGGAGGGAAGUGGCUGGUUUGGUAUACAUUGUGGGGACUGUACUGACAGGGUUGUGAUUGAUUAUUGGACAUGAGGGAAGGGAAAGGUCAAGAAUGACAUCUAUAUCCCUGUCAUUACAGCGCAUUUACUGAGCCAGGAAACAUUGGAGGAGAGGCUGCUGGGGGAGGAAAGACGAACAAUUCACUUUGAAAUGCCUCGAAAAUAUUUAAAAAGAGUUUCCAACUAAGCAGUUAGACAGUAGGUCUGGAAUGCAAAAAAGAAUUCUAGGCUGAAGAUAGCAAUUGGGAAUGGUUGGUUUAUAGAUGGUCUCUAAAUCCAUGGGAGAGAUUAAGGAGGGAGGAUAAAGUGAGAAGUCAGGGCUUAGGGCUGGAAUAAUACAUGGAAUAUACUUAGUACCAUGUCUGAUACAGGGAAAGCGCUCAAUAAAUGUAAGUUCUCAUUACCAUUGUUGUUGUUAAUAGACGCAGAGAUAAAACUAGGAAAGCAUGGUGACACAGAAACCAAGAUAACAGGGUGUGUGUCGAGGAGGAGGUGGCCAAAUGAAUGACAUAGAAAGUGAAGACAUGUUGCAUUAGAAACAUGCAACCAUUCAUAGAGUGGUGUGCUGGUAGAAAGGUUUAUGGAGUGCCAGUUUAGUCAGUCACCCCUGUGUAGGACACCUAUGGAACACCAUAGGGGGCCUCUAAGGAGAAACAUCUCCUUAUUGCCAUUGUGUCCCCAGGCCAGUGAGCAUGACCUGCUCUGUGGCUUUACUUGCUGCCAUUAAACCACCAAUAGAUCUUUGUUGUUUAAAGCAGAUUUAGGAGACCACUAGGGUCCUUUCAGCCAUCUGGGUGCAUUCUUAGGUAUAACUGAACCAACAGAGUGAGGAGUCUCUGUAGCUAUGCCACAGUGAGUUUGUUCCCAUUUUAUUGAGGACAGAGCAGAAUCUAGGCACAAAUAGACUAGGGCCACUGACAUGGUGUGAUUUGAGGGGCUCAGAGAGGCCUCUAUAUCUUGCCUCUGAUUCUUCUCUGAUUGGGAGAGAUAAGAAGGAAGGAUGAAGUCAUUGAGGGCCUGGAGAACAGGCUGGUGAUGUUUAACUCAUUCUAAUAAGAUCUCACUGUGGAAGGGCUGAGGUUACCAAGAAGUAUGACCUAAGACACCAGAAGCUGUGUAAACAUGUGUGUGUGUGUGUGUGUGUGUGUGUGUGUGUGCAUGUUUCCAGAUGUCUGUGUAUGUGUGAUGUGUGAACAAAGGCAGUACGGCAUGAGAAAGCAAUGGAAGGAGGAGGAGAGACUGCUCAACUUGCCUUGGAAGUUGCUCCAUCUUAUACAAUCACCUUUGCAGGUUGGAUGGCCCAAGAUAUCUAAGAAGUUCAGGAUUGUCUCAGCUGUAAGGAAGUGGCAUUAUCUGACCACAGGGCCUUAUCACAGGCUGCUUCCCUGAUACAAGGUGAAAUUCAGACUUCUUGGAUGCUGUACAGGUGGCCUCAUUUGAAGAAAAUUCGAUAUACGGAAGUCUAAAUUUUUGAAAUAAUUCACUCAAUUGAAAUCUGAUUGAGGUCAAAGAUCGUGUCUUAUAUUUCUUUCAUAUCCUUUGCCCAUUAAGCCCUCCAUAAAUACACAUUGUUUCUCUACUAAAUAAUUCACCUCAGGGUUCUUGGAAAUAAUGAGCUCCCUUAGCACUCUAAAGAUACGUUUCUAUUUUCAAAGAUUUCCUGGCAGCUCUUAAGGGGUGUAUCUAUUCUAUAGUCAGAAAUACAUCUGUAGACAAUUUUAGUUCAAGUGCACAUACAACCAAACAAAAUCAAAUUCAUGCGUUCAUAAUGGCUUAUCAUGAUGUUGCUUAGUUUGGCAGUUUUAUUUUAAUAGGCAAAUGUGUACUUUAUAAUCAAGAAUAAUUCUAUUCCUAGGUGCAUAGGAGGCAAAGAAGGAGCAGAGGAAGAUGAGUACUUCCAAUUUGAGUCAAUGUCCAGGCAGAUAGUUAUAAUCAUUUUAGAGAUCUCUUGGCUUCUAGAAGAACAAGUUUCUGGGGCCUCAGGACCACUCAGAAAAGAAAACAGAUCUCCUGAAUGUCAAGAACUUGCAUUUAUUCCAGGUGACAAAAUUCCCCUCUGUUCUCCCCUGUUCCACUAGAACAGAGGUGACACAUUUGGUGACAAUGAUCCUCAGUCUCUGGGGUGGCCUGAGGCUCGCUCUGGGCUGCACCAGCUCACUCUCUACCAGGCUUGGGUCCUGAUGCAUACACACCACUCAAGCAACCCUGCAUGGCCAACAAGAGCCUUCCUUCUCCAAUUCCAAAAAGGAUGGCACCUUUUUCCUCUAAAGGAGUUUCUAUUUUGUGUAAUUAAUAAAAAUUAGGAGGCCUUUUCUCAAAAUAAUUCUGUAUAUAUAUAUAUACAUAUAAAUAUAUAAUUCCUUUUGAAAGUGUAGAUUUUAUUAAUAACUUCUGCUACUGUUGGGCUUACCACUGGAUUCAUGAACACAACCUCCCUUUGGCAUUGCUGUUGAAUUCCAAGGAGCUAAGAUGUUUUGGUAGAGAGUGGAGAGGAAAGGGAGCUAAAGGAUCCUUUCCUAUGAGAAGCUGGACUUAUUUUUCUCUUUGGUGUUCUAAUUUCUCUUAGUGUGUGUCUCCUUGUACCAUUGCUGUAGUACAUCACGACCACAAAUAUGCCUCGCUCUGGUGGAGGGCUGUUAGUGUGUUCCCAGAGAGACAAGUUGUUUGAAGUGAAUAUGUUCACUCCUUGAGCCAUGCUAAGAACAGACUUUUAUACACUUAUUCCUGUGUGGCCACCCAGACUGUAAGUGUCUUGGAACUUUGGGGCUCAUAAUUCAAGGAAACCACUUUUAUGCACAAAUGAGAAAUACAUCCCCAGUUCGUGCAUCACUGAGGGCUGGGCCGUGAGGAAACGGCAGCCACAGCUCACAGAAGGAACAAGAAAACCACAGCUUUGCUUACAAAAUUGGCUGCUUGAAGCAAGUGUGCUAGCACUUUGGACAGAUUAUAUAUGCUCAACUUUGCUAAAUCAUUUACAGAAAUCUCUUAAAAACAGAGCUCUUUCCUUAAGCUUCUGUGUUCCGAAUUAGACACAUCUUUAUUUAAACUCGAUUAAUCUGUACUAUUAUGGUGAUGUGCAGGUGCAAGUGUGGAAAAGCAAACAUUUGAGAAAAGCCAUGGCCUUUCUUUACAGAGCAGCAAGUCUCAAUUUGCAAUUUGCAAUGAUCUGAUACUUUCCCAUGGGUGAGCAAAGAGCUUGAGAAUUGCAUUCUCUUCAGGACAAUGAGACUGUGCAAUAGUCCGCUAUUUUGGUUUGUUCAAACAAGUAAUGGGAAACGAUUUCACCAAUUCUUUUUAGGCAUAAGGGUGUCACAGAAGUUUUUUUCUAAUGGACUGUCGCUGACCUGGCCACAAGUGGCCAGGAAGAAGGUCUUAAAAUUCAGCUACACAUGAAGAAUGGAUGGAUUCCCCAGGUCUGGACAGGUGAGGAGUUAAGUCUAGAGGAGGCUACUUAGGCAGAAAGGAGCAUGUAGGUAAUAAUAAGUCAGAGUGCACAUGUUAGAAAGUCGAAUAAUCAUCCUUGGGUGGAGAUCAAUUUUUCCUUGCUUGCUUUUCUGCUUCCUGCUGGGUGUGGAUGGACCAGAGUUUGUAGGAGCCAGUUCCUGGCCUAAAGAAGAUGAGAGAUCUGCGGAUGAUGGCAACAAUCAUGAUAGUAAGUGCUUAGCUUAUGACUACUACACUUACUAUGCUAAGCAUUUUACAUAUUUUAACUCAUUAGUCCUCACAGUGACUCUAUGACGUAGAUGCUAGUAUUGUUUUCAUUUUGCAGAUGUAGAGAAUGAAAGAGAGAAAGUAAGAGUUUAUAUAACAGCUAAGCACAAUAAAUGGUGGUGCCAGGAUUUGAACACAGGCAGUCUGUCCCCAGAGUCCAUGCUCAUAAUUCUAUUGCUUGGCAUAUAUUGUCCAACAUAAUUUGGCUUUCCUAGUAAAAUGUUUUUCUGAUGAACCCACAGUGUGAGUCAACUUGGAAGUAUAAGGCUUCAAAAUACCAAUGCUCUUUCAGCAAGUAUCUCUGGCAGCUGGGAAAAUAUGAAAAUAGUCAGCCUCUAUGAUUUGAUGUAUAAAUUGCUUCCAUUCUUAUUUGCCUCAAGGAUGGUCUUCAAGCACUUCUGCGCUCGCCUUAAGCAUACACUUAAGGCCGAGUGGGGAAAAGAGAUCUCUGGGCAUCUCUUCAGACACUUGAUUCUAAUGUGGUUAGUUCUUAAGAGGUGAUGACAGGUGACCAUUACAAUAGAUCAAUCACUUACUGAGCACUGACUAUGUAAUAGGCACUGUACGAGCAUUUUACUUGCAUCUUCUCCCUAAUCUUUGAUCUUGUCAAUAAAACAGGUAUUAUAGUCCCAGUUUUAGAGAUGAAGAAACUGAGGCACAGAGAGUCAAAUAAUUUGCUUGCUUGAUGUUCCAAACAAAAAAGUGGUAAACAUUGGAUUCAAAUUUGGGUCAGGGAGACUCCAAAGUUCUUGCUUUUAACCAUUGCCAUAGAUACAUACCAGUACUUUAGCACUUAGUGACAUUUGUACUGUAGCAGUCAGUGACACAUUAUUUAGCAAAGUGAAAAUUACUAUGUCAAUUUCUCAAUCCUAAUCAAGGGUUUUGUGAUGGUUUUGUAGUGUAUCAACUUGGCUAGGCAGAACUGCAUUUCCCAGAAUUCACUUUUUUAUAUGUUUCUGGUAAUAGAAGAACCACAAAGAAAAUUCUUGGGAGAUUUAUAGGACAGAAGGGAAGCAGGGGCCAUCUUGUAACUCAUAUGCUGUUGCUGGUCUGCUGAGUCAACUUGUGGUUGGUGUGAAGAAGCAUUUAUAAACUCUGCUCUGUUUCUCCACCUCCUGUGCAAGGUGUGUGUUUAGUUCCAUGGCAAAGGGCCUUGACUUCUAUGUAUCACCAAGAUCAGUCUACCUGUGCCUAUGGCUUCCAGCCUGCCUGGGAUAUUUUUUGCAUCUAUCUUCUCUUUCUGAUUGCUUGUCCUAUGGACAUCCAGCUCCAGACUCAGACAUGGAGACAACAGCCUCACAGAGACUGCUUAUUCAGCUCCCACGAGGACAAUUCCCUGGAGCAAAUCUCUACAGUUUCUGUUUCUCUGGUUGAACUCUGACCGAUAUAGUUGGUCAUCUGAAAGUCAUCUCUACCAUCUCUACAUGGUCCAUGCCCCAGCAUCAAGACUGGGGCAGUCCUUCCUUCCCAGGGGGCAGGGAAAGAAGUGCAGGCUCUCUUUACCACUACUUGUGGUACCAUGCUCUAUUUUCUAUCAUGCUCUCUCACAUGAUUAUCACCUGUGACAUAAAUAGGGUAGAAACUCUUCUCCCAUUUCACAGAAGAGGAAACUAAGGCCUGUGAGGUUUGAUUACUUGUUAGCAGCUUUCUCAGGAUUAGGAUCUAGGCCACUGGACUUCAAUUAGGUGUCCUACACUUAUUCUGAGAUUCAAUAUUAUGAUUUUUCAAACCCAAGCAUAUGUAAGUGAGUGUUGAAUUUCUUUGCCGGAGACAAGCCUUCUCUGUGGAUAGUUUAAGCUGUGAUUUCUCGAUGAGAAUGAAACUAUAAUGGAGCUCAACUUGACAUUUUCUUCUCUUUGAGUUUGAAAAUAACUUGCUGAUGAAUUUUUUUAGUAUCUGCUUCAAGAUUCACUCAUGCUGUUCACAUUUCCUUGUCUUCUAUAGUCAAAUGUGUUACUGUUUGAGGUAAGGGAGCUUCAUAGUGUGUACUUUCCUUCUGAUGAGGCAGAAGCAGACCAAUAUGAGGAAAAUUAAUAUAAAAUAUUAAGUGGCUCAUAAAACAGAGGUGAUAUAUUUACAUAGAAAUGACAUGAUCAGGAUAUAGAUCUAAAGGACAUUAACAUGUUAGUUUCUUGCCUGUGGACAGAUAAAAUUGUGGGUUUUUUUUCUCUCUUUAAGACUGAUUCUUUUUUCAAACUUUUUUGAAAUGGUUCAUGGCACAGAUGAACCACAUAUAGUGCCCAACCCACUAGAAUGUAAGCCGCGUGAGACCAGAGACCACGUCUGUCUUGCUUAUGAUAGUCCCUAGCAUCUAGUACAUAAACAGUGCUUACCACAUUGUAACUUACUAGGUGAACUUAAUCGUCACAAAAAAAUAAGCAAGAAAUAUUGUUAUCCCAAAUGAAGAAACUGAGUCACAGAGAGUUUAACUAACUUACCUAAGGUCACCCAGUAAGUUAGUAGUGAAGCAAGGUAUGAAUCCAGGCAGUCUGGGUCUAAAGACCUACUCUUCACCCCUACAUUGUAUUGCUAUCCUGUGAUUAUUGUUAGUAAUUGGCCUGGAUUAUACUGGAUUAUUAUAUCACUUAUAGCGAUAUAAUGAGUGAUAAAUAUGUUAAUAGCUAUCACAAAUUUGUGGCUAUUUCAUCCCGAUUCUCUUUUAGAACAUAUGUAUUAGACAUGUCUAUAAAUGCAUACACAUAGGCAUGUAUAUAUACAUACACAUGUUUACUCCAAUGACAAAUCUCUUUCCCAAACACUGGGUAAUAAUAACAGGCAUUAGCCAUAAAAAAGGUGAAUGUCUCUAAGUCCAGGAGCCUCCCUCUCCUGUGGCUGCAACUACUAUCCUUACUAUUGACUGGAUGCCCAACUGCUUUGUGGAUGAAGGCGAGAAAUGUUGUCUUAGUCCUUCUAGGGUUACUACAAAAGAAUGCCUGAGGCUGAGUAAUUUAUAAAUUAUUUGACUCACAGUUCUGCAGGCUGUACAAGAAGCAUGGCACCAGCUUCUGCUUCUGGUGAGGGCUUUAGGCAGCUUCCAACUAUGGUGGAAGGGGAGGGAAGCUGGUAUAUGCAAAUAUCACAUGGUAAGAGAGGAAGCAAGAAGGGGGCAUGGAGGAAAGCGCAGGCUCUCUUUAACAACCAGCUCUCACAGGAAAUAAUAGAGCAAGAACUUACUCAUUACUGUGAGGACCUCACUCAUUACUGCAAGGAUGGCACCAAGUUAUUCAUGUAGGAUCCACCUCCAUGACCCAAACACUUCGUAGUAGGCCCCACCUCCAACAAUGGGUAUCAGAUUUCAUCAUGACAUUUGGAUGGGUCAAGGAAACCAAACUAUAGCAAAUGCGAACAGGAAAAGAGUGAGUGGAGCCACAUUGAGGCUUGGUGAAACAAGGGUGGGAAGAACGAGAAGAAAGAGAGGGGUAUUUUGAAUGGCUCCCAAGCCUAAACCAUUCAAUAGGCAUUAAAUACUAACAGUCCUCCUCAAAGUUUUCACAAUGGAAAUGACAGUGACCAAAUUUUCAACAUGGAGGUCAGGACCACUCUGGAUGUGAUCUGCCUGAGCGCAAAGCCUUCAGGAAUGACUUAAGUCCCCUAAGUUAGCUGUCAACUUCAUUUUAUUUAUUUAUUUUGAGACAGAGUCUCACUCUGUCACCCAGGCUGUGAGUGAGUUAGCUGUCAACUUUAAAUAAAUUGAAAAAACAUAGUAAAGGAAUAAUUUUGAAGAUUUAGGAGCCAGCUAAUCUCUUUAUCUCAUUGGGUCAAUUUUCCCCACCCUCUCUGUCCCUCGUUGAUUUCAGCUGCUCUACUUGCUCAGCUCUCUGCGUGAUUGGGUUCCGCCACAUUGCCUGGUCAUCAUGCACACUGACCAGGAGCCAGAGUUCAACUCACACAGCCCAGUGGUUUUCAUUUGUUAGAAAUGACAGGGUUUUCUUGUGCUGUUAUAAAGCUUAUCUGCUCAUGUUAUUUCUCAAUAUCAAAUCACAGUAGAAAAACAGAAAUGCCCCUGCUUAACACAGGUAGGAUUACACUUGGGAGUGUUGAUGACUUAAGCAAAGAUUUUCCACCUACGGCCAAGUGAUUGAUGGCUUAUCCAUCUGCACGUAAUACCAGUGUUUAAAUCCUGGCUUGAAUGGUCAUGUCACCUGUAGUUUCUAAACAACUGAAUAUUUUCUCCCAAAGUAAGAAUACAAGAAAUAAGAAUGAACACUUGUAAGUUAGCUUUUUAUUUCUCUCCUGUUUGAUAAGCCUGGAGGAGUCUCUCACGUGUGAUGGUAAUUGUUAUUUGUGGCUCUGUGGCAGGCCACAGGAAGGUCACCAGACUUAGGCUGUGGCUUAUUCCCCUUUUGUCUUCUCACGUCAGCAGGUGUCAUAAAUAUCAAUUUCAUUAUAAUUUAAAUAUAACUACAUAACUGGACAUAAUGGGCUUUUGACUUUCCUUUGGAAAACUGGUUGAGGCAGUUUUGGGGACAAAUAAAAUGAAAACUUGCCUGUUUUCUUUUUUUUAAUUGAAUUCUCCUUCAAUUUGAUCCAUACUAGGGUAUCAAAUAUUGCUUUCUAGUUAACUCCUGUUCUCAGCUUUAAAAAUACUGUGUGUACACUGUUCAAGGUGUACAAGCACAUACACAUAUACAUAUAGAUGUAGACACAUGUACAUACACUGUUCAAUAAUUUAUACUUUGAACAGCAUUCCGAUUGGCGGUGCAUCUAAAUGUUUAAAAAAUAGUCAGCAUGCCAUGUGAAUUGUGCAACAUCCUGAGCCCUUGGUCAUUCUCACCUAGACCACUGUGACAGAUUCCUAACCAGCCCUCCUGCUUCGCUUCUCCCCUUAACUCCUGACGGCCAUGUUCUACACAAUAGCCAGAGUGGCUCUAAAAAGUAAAUCUGACCACACCACUCCCUUGCUAUCACUGUCUGGUGGCUUUCCACUGCAAUGGGAGUGUAAUACAAAUGUCUCACAAGGGUCUACUGUGUCCUACAUGACCUGUAUUUUGCCUUUCUCUUGGACUCCAUCUCAUUCUACUUCUGGGUUAAGAUCCUGUCUGCCUCAGGAGUCUUUCCACUUGCCCUUUCCCCUGGCUGAACCUCUCUUCCCUUAGAUCUUGACAUAGCCAACUUUUUCUAUUCAUUCAGGUCUUAAGCUCAAAUGGUAUUUCUACUCUUAAGUGGACCUCCCUGCAGGCCCUGGCUGAAGCAGCUUCCCCCUCCACUCUCUAUCCUAUUCCUCUUUUAUUCAUAGAAUAUAUCACUGAAUUUAACUCAUGUAUGUUUGUAAAAACAUUUAUUGUGUGGUACCCCGCGGGAAUGCAGGUGCCAUGAGAGUGUCCUCAUCUGUCUUUUCCAUCACUGUACCACAGCACCUAAAAACACAUAGGUAUGUUCCAGAGACUCAAAGAAUUAUUCAAUAAGUGGAUGAGUAGGUGAACAAUGAACAAUUUUACUUAAAGGCAAUUUGGGGUACAUUUAAUUAUUUGCUUCCAACUUUUUUAUUUUGAAAAAAUUAAUCAUAACUGUCGGUGCUGAUUGCUACUUAGAGAAUCAUAGAAGCUUUUAGUUGGAAAGAUUGUUCAAUGAUCAGUCCAAGCAGACAUUCCCUUAGCCAACAGUCCUGACAAGGACUCAUUUAGUCUUUAUUAAAAUAUUCCCAAUGUUGAAAAGCUCGCUCCUUACUUAUCCAAUAUAUUCUAAUGUUAGACAACUCUGUUGUUUAAUAAACCAAAGUCUCUUUGCAUUAUGCCAAAUCUUAGGCAUAGUUCUGUCUUGAAGGGUUACACAGAUAAGCCUUCUUUCUUUUUCACACAGAAAUACUAUCAUGAUUUCUUUUCAGAUGGUUUUCUGUUUACUAAAUGUCUUCUGUAAGCUCAGUGAUUCCUUACAUGACCCUCUUACCAGAUCUUUCGUUCUUGUAAUAUUUUUUAAAAGGUGUUUGCUUCCUUCUCCUUCCUGAAUACAUUUUUCUUUGACAAUAUUCUCAUUAAAUCUUGUCAUCUGCAGUGGAAAACAGUAUAAAGCCAUGUGAGUAUAGAAAAAAGUCAGAAGUCAGAAAAACCAUAAAGAACUUGAGAAUUGUGGGAGUUCCCUAGGAAAGCAUGAUCAUUACUAUCAAUAAGACUUCUUUUGCUGGGCAUUUGGGUUGGUUCCAAGUGGAAUACUAUGCAGCCAUAAAAAAGGAUGAGUUCAUGUCCUUUGCAGGAACAUGGAUGAAGCUGGAAACUAUCAUCCUCAGCCAACUAAUACAGGAACAGAAAACCAAACACUAUGUUCUCACUCAUAAGUGGGAGUUGAACAAUGAGAACACGGGGACACAGGGAGGAAAACAUCACACACCAGGGCCUAUCAGGGGGUAGGGGACAAGAGGAGGGAGAGCAGUAGGACAAAUACCUAAUGCAUGCAGGGCUUAAAACCUGGAUGACGGGCUGAUAGGUGCAGCAGACCACCAUGGCACACGUAUACCUAUGUAACAAACCUGCAUGUUCGGCACAUGUAUCCCAGAACUUAAAGAAAAAAAAAUACUUCUUUUUUCACUGUGUUGUUUCUUUUAACUAUAUUGGUGUGUCCUUACAUAUAGACUUGAGAAAAAGAAAUCAUAAGAAGGUCACCAGAUUUCUCCCUUCAUACUACCGAUGGAGAUAGAUGGGCUUUGCAGGUGUGACUUUCCCCUUGGACUCUCAGUCAAAUAGAAUUCUUUUUGAGAGAAUAGGCUUCCUCGACUCUUUGUACGAUUUUGUUGCAUCUUCAGCCUGAAAUCUCAACAAAUACAGAUUAUUUUUCCAACACUGAAUAUUGCCAAAAAAAAAGGCCACCGUUCUUUUCUUCCUGGUUUCCUCUCAACUUCAGUAACCACCAGAAUACAAAGGCUGGACUCACAGUAGGAACACAGUGGUGACUCUCAUUCAAGCAGAAAGUUGACCAAAUGGAUAAUCUUCCCUCUUUGGACUUCUCUGAAAGUAUUUUUGUCUGUGCACUUUGGAUGGCAUGUGAAUCACUUGGCCUGUUGAAAUGCCUUACAUGGGUGCCAAUAAGCCAUUGCAGUCAAAGUAAGCAGAACAAAACAAAGUAAACCGAACACUUAAAACACAAUUAAAAAGGAGGCCAAAGUUUGCGGUUUUUUAAAAACUAAACUAAAAUCCAUCUGAUUCUAUCAUUUUGAGUUGUAGUGAUUAUUUUUUGAGAAGAUGGAGGUUUUCAAUGAACAAGUGGUCUUUUGCAAGCAGUAUUGUCCCAAUUGAUCUUAUGAUUGAUGUUUUAUGUGGACAUGGCGAUUGAUCUUAUGAAGGCCCUUGGUCUGGGGACUCCUCCGGUGUUGGCAGUUGGGUAAGGAAAAAGAGAGUGUUGUCACAAGUCUAAAAAGGCCACCAUGCCCAAGGAGGUAUAUUGUAGUCAUUGAAAUACCCACUGUCAACCUCGUAAUUAAGGCAUAGAGUUGGACAGUGCUCUCUAUUUCCACACAUGUGUCCUGGCCAGCCUCAUGGACUUGGAGAAGUAAUUUCUUUUCCUAUUCAAAGCUGCCCUUAAUCUCUGUUUCAAUCAUGUAAAAUUCUACUGCAAUAAGGAUGGCAGAUAGAAGCUGCAUGUGUGUGUGUAUGUGUGUGUUUGUGUGUGUGUGAGAGAGAAAGAGAGAGAGACAGAGACACUGAAUAUUGCUAAAUAUUCAGAGACAGAGCGAGAGAUAUACCCAUGUGAUGAUUCUGAACAUGUUAUUUAACUGGUUUUACUAAUAGGCCACAUGAAGCUCUCCUGGUGCUUCCUUGAAGAUCUGAUGGUGGGUUGGAAUCCAGCCAUCACUAGCUAGAAAUUCCAAAUGUAUUCAGCUCAAUACUUUUUUUUAAUCUUUUAAAAAUUUUUUUACCUUUAUCGUUAUUCACUGGGACACAUUUGCAGUAAAAGAAAGAUUUUAAUACCAGGCUUAUACUUGAUUUUUAGACAUUUCUGGAAUCCUGUUAAGGGUUCCAGAAGGAUAGCUUCAAUAUUUUUAGUUUUCUCUGAUAGCCAUGGUGUUUUUAGGUUGAUAAGGAAACUCGUCUGUGAUCUUUACUCAUGAAUUGUCCUUGAUCAAAUGAAGGAAAUGGGGAGGGGUGUAUGUAAGAGGAUAAAUGAGAUAACAGUGAUGUUGCUUGAAGCCAGACAUGUUGUAGAGACUGAAAUGAGAGUUCAAGGAGAUGAGCUAGGAGGAUUAUUAGAAUCCAAGGGAAUUAUUUUGUCAUCGAGUUAAUAGUACUACAGGGAGAAGAUGCAUAACUCGUUAGAAGAGAAACCAGAGAAGAUUUAUUUGGUAAUAUGUGACCCGCCUUCCUUACAACUGGAGAAAGUUAUCUCUAGAUCUAUGAGGUAGAGCUGACAAAUACAUGCUGGAGAUCUUUUUUUCUUUACUGAGAUGUCAGUGUGCAAUGUGAAAACCAAAAGCUCCUAAAGAUAGUACAAGAAAUCACACAUCUUAUAAAUUACAUCUCUUUGCUAAAGAUGAUGGACUUUUCCAGGAAACGAUGCUAUUGUUAUUUCCCAAGUAGAGUUUUUUUUUUAACUUAAAUGUUCUUGAAGAAUUGAAGAAUUGAUAUAUAGAGAGAAGACAACGAGGGUAAUAAAAAAAUGCAAGAAUUGUGGUAAUUGGUGUUCUGUGUCAAGAUCCUUAAAUCUCAGCCUUUCUCUUAAUAUCAUAAAGAUAGAGUAAAAAGUCUUUUGUGAAGUAAGUAGCCAAUAAUGUUUUGUGCCCAUUUUAGAGAUAGUGCACUUGAAGGCACCUAAAACAGAGUGAAAAUUACAGAGAAACAAACUUACUGUUAUCACUAGGCAAUUCCCUCUCCUGGGAUAAUCCCACAAAACAAACAAAACAAAGUAAACACAAUAAACUCAUCUGCUGCCCACACUUUUUUGAUAAUUGCAAGACAGCUUGCGAUGGAAGAGGGAAGGCAGAUCUGGUAGCUUUGAUUUUCCUCUGGAUGUAGACAGCCAAAAUUGCAGAGCAUGGUGCUUGUCCCUGUAUUUGUUUACCUCAUUUCUUCUUCCAGAGGUCAGACAGGCCUGUCCUAGUUUUUUCAUUAGAGUCACUACCCUUUCCUUUGUCUAUAUGGCUCCCUGGGGUCUCUGUUCAACUGUAUAUCAUCGUUGAAUAGGCUUGGCUUCAAAUCCCAGCUUUGUCUCUUUCAAAUUGUGUAGCAUUGGGGACAUCACUUACCAUAACCCACUGUCACCUUAGAAAUAAAGCCUGAGGCAAAACUGUAUAUGUUAUCACUUUCAUGGGAAGUGUCAUUCUAGAGAAACAAUAGUGAAGAAAAAAGAGAGGGAGGCAGCACAGGAGAUAGGAGGAAGAGCAGCUACGAAGGAGCACAUUCCCAAGCUGGCCACUGCUUUGUAACAGUACUAUUGAUUGCUCAAUCUUUUAGGUCAUCUUUAGGAGCUGGCAUGAAUUGCUGUGUUUCAGAACAGUCCACGCAGAGGAAUGAGGAGAAGAGGAUUCAUCCAUUAGCUUCCAUCUCCCAUUGGUGAAAGCUUGCCCUGCAACUCCUCCACACUUCUGGGUUGUAUGACCUGUCCUGCUACAGCCACUAUGGAAAUCUGAACCCAUGUUAGUAGCCACCUCCUCAGCAUGACCUGCAGCUUAUGGGGCAUGCAGUAAGUAGGAGCAAGCCAAGCGCCCUGCGGGCUAGACCUCUGGCACACUGCAGAACCAGCAUGAACCAGGGCAGGUAGUGAACACCGAGAGGGUCCCAUGGUACUGCCCACCAUAGAGACUAAAACAGAGCCUUUGGCAAGAGGCAGGAGGCUCUAGGCAUGAGGUGUUUUCGGUCAUAGCCACACAUUACCUCAGAUUCCAGGAGCAGCUGCUGCAGCAGACCCAGCUAGCCCAGCCUGCAGAUUGUCACCAUGAAGACAGAGAUGAUCCUUCCUCCAGUGAAGAGCAAAACUUCUUUGUGGCCUAUAUGACUGCUUGGUGCUGGGCAAGCUUCCUGAAGAGUCAUCAGCAGCUGGAGACCAUGGCUGAGUAAAUCCAGGGUGGGGGCAGGGCAUAAGCUGGGUCCAGUGCAUUAUCCAUCCUUUCUAGAUCUUGGCUUCUUUUUGAAUAAUGAGCAGUAGCAAUUGCUAUUUCCUCUUCUUCGCCAUUCCAAGCUUCCCUCUACAACAUCCUCUCUUUCCAGCUGUGUAGCAGGCGCAGCUCUAAGCCCAUGUGCUUGGGGUCUCUUACCCUUGGAAUUGCCUCCUUUGCCGGGCUUUCUAAGUUGUCUUACUGCUAGUUUUCAAGGAUCUUAAAAAUCCAUCCUCUUGUAUGAAGGCUUCUCUGGCUGAAUGGGCAUUAUUCUGGCGUAUUCCUCACCUUCCAAAUAAAAUCUAUGAGCAUGUUA